rnacentral:lncRNA from 1 species
GAAGCACAUCUCUUGGCAAAUCCUGAUCUCUAUGCUUGAAUCAUUUUCCAAUUCCAAGUGGGCUUCUAAUAAAUAAGAAUUAAAUAAGCUGAACUUUGUUUGCUUAUUUAUGGUUUUAAACCUUGAUUAAUGUACUAGAUAUAAUAACAUCAAUAAAUUAUGAAGCGUGUGUGAAAGUCCACAAACUCGCCCAUUGAAUAUUACAGUUUAAUUACUUUAAUGCACAUCAAAUUCAGGAAUGUCUGUCAUUAGUCUAAUUUCAAAUUAAUUAUAUACAUCACAUGAUCACAAUUUUCUUUUUUUUUUCCCCAAUCUUAGAAAACAAUGUCGAAAGAAUCUGUUUAAAACAAGGGAGUGUGAUCUUUGAUUUGCACUUGGUGAAAAAAGAGCAAAAUUAUUAAGCCUCAAUUUCCUAGUGUGACUUCUCUUAUGAAAUAGAAAUUUUAAUGGUGAAAUUUAGUAAAAAUGACUUCUAAAAUAAUAAAGUUAAUUAAUAUAGUUUAAUCAUCACAUAACUCUCAAAGACCUAGAGGUGAGCCACUUGUGCCAGACUAUAAUACUAAAUAAAGUCUCACAGGCAUCUAGGAGACAAACAAUAAUUAAUACAACAAAAUGGAUCAUCAAAGUUAGGAGCUGUUUGGAAGUGCUACAUUGUGUGACACCCAAGCAACUGCGCAGCUGCAGAAUAAGAAAUUCUACCAUAUUUCUUUUUGCGGCAGUUGCUACAGUGCAGCACUCCUAAACGAAGGCCGAGAUCCGGCUCCAAAAAUAUAUGUUGUAGGAUCACGUGGACGAAUCAGAUUUUCUCAUGAAUUAUACGACUUUGUUCUCAAAUUUUAUCCUCUAUAGCUUCUUUCGCUAAGAAAAAUUAAAGGAAAAUUUGGAAAGUGGUAUAGUCAACAAGGGAAGGCUUUAAUUUAAAUGUAACGAUGAGAAAAUAUUUUAAAUGACAAGAUAGACACUUACCACAAGAUAACCUCCAUAAAAUCUUUAAUGAUCAGUUACCCUUUAUUAUAAUUUAACCCCAAUUGGUUGUUAUUAUUUAAAACAUAAUGCCCCAAAAUUAAAAUAAUGGUCCGACGAUAGCUUCACGCAAUAGACAAGUAUUUAGAAUUAAAUACUGGUUUGGAUCUUAUAUCCGAACGAGUAAUAUGAAAGCAUGCAGACACUUGGAUGUGGUGGUGUUGAGCUGCAUUUGGCAAAAUGAUACUCUGUUUGGUAGAGCAAUUUAAUCAGACCCAUGCAUCAUUGCACAAAUUGAGGCUCCCUCUACAAAGGCACAAACAAUAAGAGAAAUUUUAUCAAAAGCUCUCGCUUUUUUUCUUUUGGGCAUUCAUUUGUGUGUACAACUAUAUUUAUCUUGCGGGUGCCGCCCGGCACAUGAAGUCAUGCACUCAAUGACAAUUAUCGGUUUUAGUUUUCUAAAAAAUUUAAGUUUUCUGCUAAUAUUGUAAUGAUUUGAGCCACAUGUAUAAUUUUCCAUUUACUGACCCUAACUCAUAUGCUGAUAGCAUUUGCUUGGUUAACAAAAAAUCUGAAUGGAUCUGAAUGUUACAGGAAUCUAAAUUCAUAUGUUUGAAUGAUAUAUUUGUCUUUUAUUCUUUUAUUUAUGAGUAUGAGUGGUAAGUUAUUUGUUUUUAUAAAUUCAAAACAUUUUAAAUCUAAUUUUUUAACACUUAUGUCCUCAAAAGUGUUAUAUAUAUCUAGAAGUUUAAAUAGGUAUAUAUUCAUGAUGUUAUCUAGUAUAAUGCUAUUUAUAUGUUAUAAAAAUAUAUAAGGUGAUCAUUUGAUAUAUAAUUUGUGGAAAAUAAUUUUGAUAACAUUAUUUUUUAUUUUUAUCUGAUAAUAAAAUAAUAUGCCUAAAUUCAAAUUGAAUUUGUAUGUUUGGUACUUUAUACUAAGUAAAAAUUGAGAUCAAGAGAAAUUCUAAUACGACAUCUAACUUACAAUAUUACAAUUAAUUAAAAAAAAAUCUUUUUGAUUAGAGAAAAAAUAAAGGAUUAUUAGAUUUUACAUAAUAGGUAUGAAAUAAAUAUAUUUAAAUGACGAUGUUUGUAAAAAAAUUAAUUAUUCAUUCAGACAUUUUAUCAUUUAAAUAAACAUUAAAAAAUUUAAUUUUUUCAUUUAGAUGAAAAUAUCUUACAAUAAGAAUUCAGAUACAAAAAAAAACAAGGCAAAAUUUAAAAGUAUCUUAAAUUAAUGUAAAUUAAAACUUCAGACAUAAAAACAAAUAAGUGCGUAAUUUGGAUUUCGCUAAGUUUAUAAAAAAAAAUUUCUUUUUCUAUUUGCAUUUUCUUAUUUCACAUGUUCACGCUCUUCAAGAUAAUUUAAGGCCUCAAGCAAAUUUUCAAAAUUAGGCUUUUUUAAUUUAAAUUAAGAUAUUAAUGAUAAACAUUUUAUUUUAGAUUAAUUCCUUUUAGAUAGAAAAUCAUUAAUAAAUUUGGUACAUCAAUUCGUGUGCCAAAAUUUUUUGAAGUGUAUAUAUAUAAAUGUUCCAAUUUACUUUAGAAUAAUGGAUUUUACCAAAAUCUAGAAAAGUUAUUAAACAACGUGGUUUAAUAAUGUAAUGAUUGUAGUUUAACAUCUUUCUCAGACUUUAAUAAAUUCAAGAUCCUAAAUCAUUUCUCUCUCUCUCUCUCUCUCUCUCUCUCUCUAUACAUAUAUAACGUGGAACAUGAAUUUCAUUUGGUGGGAAAGAAUAUGAAAUUAUUUUAAACAACUUUAGUGAAAAAUAGAAGCCAUUACCGAAAUGAAUAUAGAGAUUCAAAAUAUAAAUAUAGAGAGAUUAAUAUUAAUUAAUUUGCUAAUAACAUUUUCCAUGUCGUCCUAUAUUAAUUUUUAAAUUAAUACAAUUGAAAUAGGUUAAAUGUAAUCUCUAUAACAAAAUUAUGUAGUUCAGACUUAUCACACAAACACUAUUAUGUUCAUAGUAGAAAGAAAAGCAGGACUAGUGGCAUCCCUCUAAUUUCCUUUUAGCACCGCCAUUUAACGUCAAGUCUGAAUUUUAUUCCAAAAUCAUUCUUUUCCUCAAUAAACAUUUAAUUUAAAUUCAAAAUUUUCAGUUUCUUCCUCGUUUUGUACUCGUCUACUAGGCCCAGUAGCCUUGCUGCCCGUCAUCAACAUGGACAAAAUUUUUCAUGAUAAAUUUCUGGAAUAUCAGUCAUUUACUUAUUUAUUAAACCACAUAUACUUGAAAUAACUAUAGUUAAAAGAGGACACAGCAAGCUUAAUUUCAGGAAAAUGGUAAGAAAAUUUUAAAUGUAGUUCAGACCUGACACCCUUAACCAGAACAUUUGAUUAAUUCCUAAACAAGUCUAAUUCUACUCAGAUAGCGAAGACAAGUAGGCCAAAAUGAUUACAACUGCUGGUAUCUAGAGACUUUGGCCACCAAGCUUCCGUUUAAUUAGUCUCUAUAUUUUGGGUUUAAUUAUCUGUUUAAUCAAUUCAUAAAUUUUGAAAAAAAGAUGAGACUAUAUCUACUAAUUUCCUCUCUAUACCUUCUUUUUAGUCAAGAAUUUUAUUAUUUAAAUAAUUAUUUUAAAGAUUACUUAAUUAACCAUUUCUCUCUUACUUCUCAAUUUCAUAUAUUCUCAUAAGUUCAUUCAACUAUAUCAUUUUAGCUGCAAAUAACUAGUAUUACUAACUAAGAGGAACGAAACUCACUAUUGAAAGAUAGAUAUCAACAAGUUCUUAUCGGACAUUAAAUUAAGUUAAUGAAUAUCAAGAAAUUAAUUUUUAUCAAAUACAAAAGUUAAAAAAAAUAAAAAAAAUUCUCCUAUAUAGAAAGCAUGAAAUAGGAAUCAUGAUAUAAUAAGAAAGGCCAAAAAAAUGAACUUAAAUUAGAGUGAAAUUGAGUGUCUAAUUUGCAAAAUGUGAGAGCAGUGAGAUCAUAUGCAAUUGUAAGAGAGAAGAAGAUUAGUGAAAAAUGAUUUUGAGAUUUUUAAAUUUUUAAUUACUUAAUAAUGAAGUUAUUUUUUAAAAUAGGUAUAGAGAGAAAUUUGAUGGGUCCAAAUAGUCCAACAAGAAAUGCUUUAAAAUACUUAUGUUGUUAAUUAUGUACACAACUGUUAUUAAUUUUUUCUUUACUUUUACAAUAAUAAUAUCCUGACAAUGAUUUGGAAAAGUAAAAAAAAAAUUAAUUUACUAUAAUCUAAGAUAAUCUUUAUUCUUAUCUUAUCAUUUCUUUUCGUUUUUCUUCUUUUAAAAGUAAAUUCCUUCAGAUUAAACCAAGUUAAAAAAAUAUUUUAGCUAAAAGAUACAGAUGCUCAUUCCAAACUUUUAAACGCACGAUAAAAAUUGAUAAGCGAGAGUCUAGUCCAAGUGUCCAACCACGUCUUUGAUGGAUAAAUUCUACUUGAUUUAGUCCUUAAUAGUGUGGGACAUGCCAAAUUUUAAACUUCAGCCGUAGAUUUGUUAUCUUUACCAAGCACUAAAAGAUACAGAUGCUCAUUCCAAACUUUUAAACGCACGAUAAAAAUUGAUAAGCGAGAGUCGAGUCCAAGUGUCCAACCACGUCUCUGAUGGAUAAAUUCUACUUGAUUUAGUCCUUAAUAGUGUGGGACAUGCCAAAUUUUAAACUUCAGCCGUAGAUUUGUUAUCUUUACCAAGCACUAAUAUUGGCAGCCUCACAUCCAUGCAUCCACUGGAUCUAUAUAUAUCACAUGAAACCAGAAAUAAGGACUCACUCAAGCUCACCUACUCACUUUUGAUUACGGUUCUCCAGAAGCUAACAGAGAUCGUUUCUGCUUUGAAGAAUAUGGAAACUCCUUACACAGGUUAAUUUUUAGACCAUGUUCAAUUGAAUGUCAUUUAUAAUUCUAAUUUUAAUAUAUGUGUUUGUGAAUAAGGUUUUUAUUAUCAAAUUUUCAGGUAACAAAGAAUGGUCAGAGGGUACACAUGUUAAUAUAGGAGUUAGUAUGUUUGAUGAUGAGAAAAUAAAUAACAAUGAUCUUGAUCUUCUUACUGCCCCUCAAUACGGGAGGUAUCCUGACUACACUGGUUAAGUGUUACAACAUUAUACUUUUAUAUUAUGUUUAGUUAAAUAAAAGGAUGGAUAAUGUUAUUAUCCAUCAACGAUGUGAAUACAAGGUUGGUUUAGUCAACUACUAAGAUCUUGUGGGAUAUACAAAAAAACUUCUUUCUUUAGCACAUGUAUUUUGUCGUCCUUAAUUAAUAAAUAAAAUUAUUGUGUGUAUGAGUUGACUGAAUUAUUUUGGCAAUAGAUAUAAAAUUGUAUUAUUUUAAAUAUCUCUAUUUGAUUAAUUGUGCUCUUUUUCUUCUUGAAGGGGCCAAAAUCUUUAUAAUUAAUUAAUAGUACUAAUACUAUUUAUGUUUGUUAUUUGUUAAUUAAAUGGCGUAUAUCAUCAGGAUUAUAAAAUCUUACCAUAACUAUAUUAAGGGUUCUCCUACUUUAAUAUGAUAAAGGACAAGUUAAAAAAUAAACAAAAUACAUAUUUCAAUAUAUUGGAUUAAAGAUGGCUGCACCCCUAUGAUGUAUAAAAAUAAUCACAAAAACUCUCAAGUUAAUAAGAAACACUAAAACCCUCUUCUAUUACUUUCUACAAUUAAUUUCGAUGGAAAAUGUAAAAUUUACUAUUAUGUAUUUAUGAUGCACUUACUACCUUCCUAUGUGGAAUUUUAAAAUAAAUAAAUAAAUAUAUGAAAAAUGUGGUGAAACAACCUGCCCCCAGGGGGAGUCUAUCUAACCUCCUCCAAAUUGGAAUAUUGAUAAUAAUUCUAUUAGUAAGGAUUCUGGCGAAAAUUCGACAGAGUCUUCUUUAUAUACAUAACACUCUCAAUAUGAAAAUAUGUAAAACAAACACUCCCAAAAUAAUUCAAUAAACAACAAACUCUAAUGUUCAACAUCCUCAACCAAAAUACUGUAUUUUACUCAAGUUAUCACCAGAGUCUCAAAAGAUAAUAUUACAACUAAAUGUGUUCAGACGGGCCCCAAAGGUCUCUAUCUCAUCUCAUCUCAUCUAUAUCAUUGUAUCUAGAGGGGAGAGUACUGUCUAAUGAUUUCAAAAACAAUCAUUAUACUCAUAUUCACAUACCUUUUAACCAUACUUUGAAUCAUACCACACUUGAAUCCACUUUUCUUAUCUUUAAAAUACUAUCAUGCUUUAUUCAAAGUCAAUAUGCAAAAUCAUUAACCAAACAUUUUAAUAAAAUACCAAUAUGUGAAUAAAAUUUAUUUCGAGGAAAUCAUUAAAUCAGAACAUUUAAAAUACUUAUUUUGCAAACAUGCUUUAUUAUCAUAAUUAACUAUGAAAAUAGGUUUUGUAUAUUCCACUCACAGUGACGGGGUUCACGCUUGGUUAUCGUCCACGUCCGCGGACCGGUUCUCGCUCGCGAAUCCUCCUAAAUCAAGGAAACGACAUAAUUAUUUUCCGUAAAUCGGAAUUACGACUACAUUUUAUGCAAUAAACUCAAAACGAACAUCUAUUCAUAAUUUACAACCCAUGUGUCAAUAAAAUUACUAAAAUACCCUUGAGUCCGUAAAUCAUUAAAAUACUCCAAAAUCGUAAAUCACCGAAUUACCCUCGGAAUCAUAAUUACACACAAUCUUCAAUUCCUGGAAUUACUAAAAUAGCCACACACUAAGAAAUUACAAAAUUGCCCUCAUAGUGUGAAAUUAGCGAAAUGACCUUGCUGGUCAACGAUCACUGGAAUUUAGUCAACGCUGGCCGAGAAGCACGGGUUAGACACUUUUAGCCAAGCUGAGUUUAAUGGUACCAGCGGUGAGCUCCAAAGCGCGGCACGACGUAGGAAUCUAGCUUGAAAGCCGUGAAUUUCCAACAAUAGGUCGGCAGCGAAAUAGUGACUCCCGAUGGCUAUGGAUGGUCAGAAAUGGAAGAGGGAGUCAUGGGGAACAAAAUUGAGGUGGUGAUGGGUUUUGGCCGCGGCUUCUCAGGCCUAAAACGGUGGUGUUCCGGUUAAUUUUCGACGAAUAUGACAGUUGAAGUAUGACCAGCGUCUCACGGGCUUUCGAUUGAUACCUUGCUCAACCGGAGGGGUGGCCAGAAUCGCAAGAUAUGGUCGGGUAGAUUUCGGGUCAAACAGGUCGAGUUUUGGGUCUGUAGUUGGGUCGGUUUUGGCAGCUUCCCUUCUCUCUCUCUCACGUGUGAGUAUAUUCCCCUGUUUCCAGCUCUUUUCUUUUACUUAUAAAAUCCUUAACCGCCUCAUUUUCAUUUUUAAUUUCCACAUAUGUUACAUGUGGCUAACUCAUUAGUAUUAAUUAACAAUUUUGCCGCCACUGCCACCAGUUAACAUCAAAACCUAACCCACUUUUCAAUAUUUUCACAAAUCAGUUAAAGCAUGCAAAAUAGUGGUUAAAAAUGAUUACGAAAAUUAAAAAGAAAAAAGAAAAAAACCCACAAAUAUUGCCAGAGCCCUUGAAAACCUAAGACCCACCACUACAAGAAAAAAAGAAUACAACAACGAUUUAAAUACGUUGUUAAUUACAUACAACAACGAGGACCUGCACGUUGUUGAUGUUGAUGUUGUUGAAUGUCCAUGACCUUUGACAACGGACAAUUCACGUUGCAAAAUGCGAUCUUGCCUGUGGUCAUUUGUCAUGUAACCGCGCUCUAUUUUCGUAGCUGAUGUCUCACGUUUCUACACUUUUCACUACAGACUUUUUGAUGUUGUCAUUUUCUAUACAAUAACAAUACAUGCUCGUUGUUAUUUGUAACAUUUAACAACAGUAGCGUACUCGUUGCUGUUUUUAACAUUCAACAACAAUACAUGCUCGUUGUUGUUUCUAACAUUUGACAACAGUGAAUGCUUGUUGCUAGUUGUAAUAUUUUAGACAAUUAAACAUUGCCUAUUGUUAAUUUGCAAGUUGUUAAAUGCACCUUUUUUUCCUAUUUCAUACAUUAGUUUUAUCACUGUAUACUUUUGUCCUACACAAACAUAUGCACAGUAAUAACACAUUUCCAAAAUAUAAUUUCAUUAAAAAUGUAUUCAAGCAUAAAAUUAAUACAUUUGAAGUAUCAUUAUCACAAUAGUUUCUAAAAUCUUAAAUACAUAUAAAACAACAAAAUGAGAUAUGAGCAACCAAAACAUAAGUUAACACAUCUUUGAGUGAUCUUUAAAAAAAAAAGUUUCUUUAAAGCUCAAUAUCGCCAAGGAGACCUCCAGCAAAACAAAUUAAUUCCUGCACAACAAAGUUCAAGGAAAAGAAAAUAAGUAGCAUUUUAUAAAAACAUAAAUUAACUCUAUAUGUGUGUGUAUGUGUGUGCAUGUGUACAUAUAUAUUUGUUGAUCAAUAAAAUAUCAUAGCAAGAUGAUGAUGUGUGUGCAUGUGUACAUAUAUAUUUGUUGAUCAAUAAAAUAUCAUAGCAAGAUGAAUCACAACUAUUACUUUGUCUAAAUCAAUUUGAUGCAACUCUUAGGCCAAGCAACAGUACUCCCCAAAGCUUCAUUGAUUAUUCGAGCUUCAUUUGUCAUCUUGUACAAUUCAACAUCUUCCUUACCAAGAGUAAUUGACUCCACCCAAACUUUCCAACAAUCCCUACCAAGAGGCACGUGAUGGACUCUUGCCUUAGGAUCAGUUGAUGCAACCUUCCCCUCAGCCACAACCUCAACUGGAUCAUCUGAGUACCAAUGCAAUAGUUGACAACUUGCAUUUUCUAGCUCAAGAUUUUCAUGCAUUGUACCACUUCCUUGUUGUGACUACAAGUAUCAAAAAUAAAAUAAAAUAAAAUAGCAAAACUUAUCACAAACUACAGAAGUGAGAUAUGGUAGGAACAAAAGAAACUUACUCGAGGAGUGCAUUCAUGAGCGAUCAUCACAUCAUCAGGUCUACCAAGAUUAUGUAAAAUUAAAAGUAACUAUAUUUAAGUGAAAGUAAAAUAAAAAUGAUUUUAUAUUACCUAAUAUGGUCUCUCAUGCAAGAGAAUCAACUAGAUGUCUCAUCUUACCAUCUUGGCUUUUAUAACUUUGGUGCCAUCUUAGUUGUUUUGCCAAUUCUGUGAUCCCAAACAUCCUCUUAAGUCUUGGUAUUAUUGGAUAAUAGCGCAAGACUUUUGCAGGUAUGCCUUGAUGAAUCUUAUUAGUUCGUUCAUCAACUUUCCAGCGAGAAGAACCACAUUUAAGACAUGUAUUUGCAUGUUCCAAGUCUUUUUUGAAUAGACAACAAUCAUUUAUACAAGCAUGUAUCUUCUUGUACCCAAGUUCAAAUGCCUUCAACAAUUUUUUUGUUGAAUAAAAAGAAUCUGGAAGUGUAUUUUUUGGUGGUAACAUAUCACAAAAAAUUUAAAGCAUCUCAUUAAAACUACUGUCAGAUAACCCGUGGGUAACUUUAUGCUUGAAUAACACUACAGUUGCUGACAUUUUAGAGUAGUUUGUACAACCUGGGUACAAUGGAGUCUCAACAUCUCUAACUAAAUUUUGAAGUUCCUCUCUUUCUACAUAUGUAUUCUCUGUAGCAUUUGCUUCUUGAAAACAUGCUUGAUCUUUAUACAUCCUAUAAGUUUCUGUCAUUUCAAAAUCUAUGUAUUGAUUUGAUGUGUAUGUAUUCCCCUCACCCUUGUAUUGCAUUGUUGCAGUAGAACUCUCCCCAUGAAGGACCCAAUUUGUAUAAGUCGGAUCCAUGCCCUUAAUAACCAAGUGCUCGUAGACUAUAUCAAAAUGGUGGCGUUGUAAAUUCUUACCAUAUCUACAGGGACAUACUAUAACAUCUAAGUUUCCCAAACAAGCUCGUGCAUUAUUGACAAAGUUACGCACUCCCAACCUAUAAUUCUCUGUGUGUCUACAAUAAAGAUUUUACCGAACUGGAAAGUUAAUUGAAUUUCACUAAUUUCGUACAGACAAACUGUUUUUUUUUUUAAGAGGAAAAAUGAAAAAUAAUAUUUAGAAAUAAGGCAAAAUAAUACCUUGAUAGGUGAACCCACCCUUUAUCCAUUUUCGAGCAACUAUUAAAACUUGUUUACAUGAGCAAAUAGUAAGUUGAAAAUAUAAAAAGUUACAUAACAAUAUAUUCAAGACAAGAACAAAGUUACACAUGACUCUUUCUAUUUUUAUUUUCGUAAGACUUUGUAUAAUUGUUAUUUUUUAAAUUCAUUAUCUUCUAUAUUAUUUACUAGUUUAAAUGUCAACACAAAAGUAAAUAAGAAAAAAAUUUAUUUAUUUUGUAAUAAGAAAACAGACGAAUAGCGUAUUAUUACCAUUAUUAUUUUUUAUAAACAAACAAUUAUCUAAGAGUAAAAGAGACAUCUUUGACUAAGAGUAAAACUGACGAUACCCAUUAUUGACAAAGAGUAAAAGAGACACCCUUUCAUGUUAUUUUACUUGCAAAAAAACAAUAAAGAAUGAAAUAUAUAUACACCUUUUCAAUUUCAAGGAUGUUGUCUUCUUUGUUCUGGACCACAAUCAAAAGCUUCUUCUCCUUGGGACCACAACGUAUACACCUGGAAUUUUAGAUAAAAAAUCAAAGAGUAACUCAAUUUAAGUUUCAAUAGAGAGAAUGUGUGUUGAACAAAAGAAGACCCAAACCUUUUUUCUUCUUGACAGUCACGAAGAGGAAGGAAUAGUUGAGGGAUUUUCACCAAGAGGAAGAAAACAAGUAGAGAGAAAGACAGUUGGAAAGUGAGAAAGUGAAAAAGUGAGAUUAGGUAACUUUACCAAGUGCCAACGUUUUGUCUUAUUAGUAAUUAAGAUAUUACUUUUUAUUAAUUGAUAAUGUAGAGUUUUUUUAUUUGUGUCUUUUUUUUUGGGCUGACAAAAGAGAUUUUCAUUAGUUGAAAAUAAUAAAUAGAUUUGAAUGUAUUUAUAUCAUUUUUUUUUAAAAAAAAUUAUUUGUGGUAAAAAAAAUUAUUUACAUUUUAUACAAAAAUAAAUUAAUGAUUUAAUAGGAUAGAUUCAAUAAUUAUAUGAAUAACCACCUAUUAUUUAAAAUUGGUUGGUUACUUUUUUAUUACUAGUUUUUUAAUUUGAAAAGGCUUGAUUAUUACUAUAGAGAAAUUAUAAAUAUAAACAUUUUUCACCUAUGGCAAAUUAUUUCAUGGUUGAAAACAAAUGACAACAAACUAAAAAAUGUUGUGCUAUAUUCUCGAUAGCAACAUGCCUUUUAGAACGUUGUCGAAAAUGAAUUUUUUAACAACAUACUUAUAUUGUACGUUGUUAUUUGUCUUACCAAAACCGCCACAAUCAGAAAACUGUUGUAAUAAUAUUUUUCACAACGCGCCUUAAAGCAUGUUGUUAAAAGUAAACUUUAAGCAAUUUUUAACAACGCACGAUCUUAAAAUGUUGUUAAACAUCAGAUUUUACAACACGCGUAGCAUGCAUGUUGCUGAAUUCCUGUUGCUAUAUCUCUUUUUUCUUGUAGUGCACUGACUAUGAAGAUGAAGAGUAGUAGAAUGUAAAAUAUUCUGGAUUAGUAUUUUUUAAACUUCAACAAUGCACUGGUUAUUGUAAAUCAUCCUCCAUAACCACGGAGUAUUAACAUUUUAGAUUGAUUGUAGUUCAGCAACAGGAGAAAAAUAUUUAAUAAGACAAGUUUUUUUUUUUUUUUAAUUCGUAGUGCGGAGGAUAGAAGAUGAAGACAAUAGUAGAGCGCGAAAGGUGUGUUUAAUUGGUGUAGGCACGAAUAAAAUUUUUGGCUGGUUAAAUUAUGGCCCUUAAGCCCGAAUCUUUAAAUUCUAAGUUAACACGAGGCAGAAGUAUUAAAAUGUCUUUUUUCUCAUUCAAAUUAACUGUAAAACGUAAUGAAGAAGGCUUAAUGUCCCUUAUUGAAAAUUUAGAAGUUGUCAUGACUAUUUUCCUAAAUCAUAGAGGUGUAAUUAUCCUUUUUAUAAGUCACAUGCAAAUCAACUCAUCACAUGAAUAAAAUCCAGCCACCUAUAGUACUACCUUUGGGAGCCUCUGGGACUAUUUUUCUAAACUGUAGCUAUCUUUUGACCACAUGCAAAAUCAAUUCAUCACAUGGAGAAAAUCCCUAGCCACCAGUAUUAUAGAUUAGCAACAUUACUACUUUCCUAUAAAUGAGUACAAAUCAUGAUUCCUCAAGUUAACAGUAUCUCCUCCAACAAUCAUUCCUCUCAAAUCUCUGCCAUAGUUACUAUCCGUAAUAAUAUAAUUUAGUUAGGGAACAUGUAAUUAUACAGAAGUAUUCUCAAGUUUCAGUCAAUUAUUUUAAUUUUUAUGGUAUGAGAGAGCUAUGGCUUCAAGUUCAAGAUCUGAGCUAUCUCUUUCAUUACAAUACUUUCAUCAGUGUGCGAGUUUAAUUUCCUUGAAACUUACCUCUGAAAACUAUUUCAUAUGGAGUUCUCAAGUUCAACCGCUUGUUUACAGUCUUUGCCUUGAACACCAGUUGGCUGAUGUUGAGCCUCCAUCUAAAACCAUUAAAGAAGACGGAAAGGAAAAUAUUAAUCCAGACUUAAUCGUUUAGAAGCACAAUGAUGGCUUGCUCGCAACUUGGUUGAGAAGCAUGAUGAAUGAAGAUAUUUUGGGUACAAAAGUCGGGUUGCAAACAGCCUGUGAUAUCUGGCUCACAAUUCCGAAGUGCAAGAAGCAUGGCUAAAAGAUAGCCCAUAUUCUCUGAAGAAAAGUUCAUCUAAACUAGGUGACUUUCUCAAGAAAUUCAGAAUCACGUGUGACAAGCUUGCCGCUAUUGGAAAACCACUCAGUGACGAUGACAAAGUUUUCCAACUCGCUCGUGCGCUUGGGUCAAGAUAUUCCGAUUUCAAAACAACCAUGUUAACGAAGCCACCAUAUCUGAGCUACAAAUAGUUUGUCAACGCUCUCUUGAAUCAUCAACAAACCGUGAUUGUACAGCAAGAUGAAAAGUCAAGUCAAUCACAGUCAAGGGGGCAUGGCAGGCAGAAUACACGAGGCAGACGAGCUUCACAAAAUUGUGGACACAGAGGCAAUGCAAACUUUCAUAACCAAAAACCACACAAUAAUGGCCAUUACGGUGACUGAAGCAAUGGAAACUACCAGAACCACCAGCCGUACAAUAAUGGCCAAAAUUCACGAGACCCACCGAAAAAGAAUAAUCAAGAAUAUGCAGUUUUUUGUCAAAUAUGUGCAAAGAGAGGCCAGAAUGCAGCAGUCUGUCGAAACAGGUAUGACCAAGAUUAUGCUGAGAAGGAAGCACCACAUGCAUGCCUUAGCUGCAAUGAACAUCAACGUAAAUGAAGAUCCUCAGUUCUAAGCAGAUUCUGGUGCUACCACUCACAUGACAAAUGAUCCAGGUAAUCCUGAUUGUAUUAGAACUUAUAAAAGUUAUAAAGGACGUGAUCAAAUAUUUGUGGGGAAUGGUAACAGUUUGCAUAUCACUCAUAUUGGUAAUAUGUUGUCUUAAAACAAGUCACAGUAACUUGAGUCUAAAUAAAGUCCUAUUUGUUCCUUGCUUAAAAAAGAAUCUCAUAUUAUUAGCCAGCUUAUCGAUGAUUUUAAUUUUUUUAAAAUGAAAGUGGGUUUUUUGUUAAGAGCAAGGAGGACAGGAUCUUGGCAAAAGGACACCGAUGCGGCAAGAUGUAUGCCUUCGACGAAAAUCAACGAAUGGCACUUAAUGCAAUGAAAGGAAACGCCCAAGACUUCAUUCUCUGGCAUAAGAGACUUGGACACGCAAGCUCUAGGGCACUGGAAACUUUGAAGGAAAAUAAGGCCAUUAGUCUUUCUACUUGGAUUCAGAAGCCAAGUUUAUGUGUUUCUUGCCAAUUAGGAAAAAACUGUAAAUUGCCCUUUAAUUAUCGGCUAAAUUUUCUGAGUUUCCCAAAAAAUACAUUGCGAUUAUCUACGAGGACUAUUAUUUCUAAUUAAAAAUAUCGAUUUUAUGCUUCAUUUAUGGAUGAUUCCUCUCGUUUUUCUUGGUUAAUCCCACGAAAAAAUAAAUUUGACUUUUUUGAUUAUUUUGUGAAAUUUCAGAAAUAGGUUGAAAAUCUAUUGGACAGAAAAAUCAAUUUGUUUCAAUGCAAUGGAGGAGGCUAAUUCAACUCUCUACUCUUGAAUAAUAAGGGAUUACUAGUUAAAUUUCUUGUCUAUACACCCUUGAACAAAAUGGGGUUGCCGAGAGAAAGCGUAGACACAUAGUAGAGACAGCUUUAGUACGAUCUUAAUUUCGCGCUUAUCUGCCCCUUAAGUUUUGGGUAGAUGGAUUUUUAGCAUCCGCGCGUUUAUGUGAUAAAUAGAAUGCCUUUAUCCGCUAUUAGUAGUAUGCGAAGCCCAUAUAAAAAAUUAUUUCAAAAAAUUCCGGACUAUCGUGGAUUAAGGACUUUGGGAUGCCGUUGUUUCCCUUAUAAGAGAUUACUGCAAACAUAAAUUUGAUAAAAAAUCUUAUCCUUGUAUUUAUUAUAGGCUAUAUUCCCUUGCAUAAAGGAUACGGAUGCCUACAACCCGAUACCAACCGUGUCUACAUAUCUAGACAUUUAAAAAAAAAAAAAGAAAAUAUCUUCCCUUGUUCUGACGAAUAAUUUCUCUUGCACAGGAUUCAAAUGAAUUCACAACUUUUCCAUCUCUAAAUGAAUAGAUGCCUAAGUCAACCACAUGCAGUAGCUAUUGACUCUUCAACUUCUAGUGACCAUGCAAAUCAAUUGCUUCACCCUGCGCAAAAUUGUUGCAGGCCCGAGCACCUCUUGUACAUCGUCCUGCCAUUCAAGAUGUGCAAAGUGACACAAAUAUUACCGCUCCCACAAAUAAUUUUUUGAAGUCAAAUAUAUUAACAGAAGACAAUUUUAGGUUUUAGGUUUUUAUAUCUAAUACAUAGAAGUAUAUGUGAAAAUAUUUUCUAAAUUUAAAAUUUUAACUUUCCAUCUAGAAGUUCAGGGUUAAGACAAAAAUAAGAAUAUUUCAUUGUUUUUUCCGCCCUAUCCAAACAGAAGCAUCUUACAAGUGAUUACAAACCACUGGAAAACAUUUUAUAAGGCAAGAAGUCACGUUCACACAAACAAACACCCCUUUAUAUUCUAUUUAUCUAGUCUAUGAAAAGUUUAAAUACACUUUACUUGUUAAAAAAAAAAUCAUUUAUUUUAUCUAUAUAAGCAAUUCAGAGAGCUCCGGCCAAUCUAUAAAUACACCCUUGCUUACAUCUCCUCAUCACCUCAAAAGCUUCUUGCUUAUUGAAACUCAAUCUAUCAGUCUCUAUAUUCUUGUCCUCUUCAUUUAUAUAUAUUUACUUCCUUUUAUCAUUUUUCAAACUUUCUUAAUUAAGAUUAUCAUGGGUGUCAUCACUUUUGAAUCAAACGACACUUAUGCAGUUCCCCCGCCAGGAUGUUCAAGGCCUUGGUCCUUGAAUCUGACCAACUCUUCCCCAAGAUUUUCCCUGAUGCCAUUAAGAACAUUGAUGUCGUAGAAGGCGAUGGAGGAGCUGGAAGCAUUAAGAAGAUCACUUUUGCUGAAGGUUAAUUAAUUAUUAAUAAACAUAUUUUGUUGCAUCGAUUGAAUUUUAAGUGUUGUUUAGAAUAUGCAUGUUUAUCAUUGUGUUUCUACCUAAUUUUAAAGCUUAGAAGUUAUCAUUGUAUUUCUAUUUAAUUUUAAAAGCUUAGAAGUUAAGAUAUUUAGUAAACAUCCAAACUUUCUUUGACAGAUAACAUUUACUAACCAUCCACUUACCUGACAGUAAAUAAUUUAUUCAUCUUAGCUUUCACCCGAGCACAUAAAUGGAUGCGAUUGGUGGUGGAUAAAACCAAAAAUACAAAAGAAUGCAUCAAAAUCAUAUAUAACCAAUAAUAGUAUACAUGUGGUUCAAGAUUUAAAGCUACGGAAAGCUAAAAUCAGCGGAGAAUGCAAGUCCUUCGAUUAUAAGUGUUGUACCAAAAUUAUAAUAAUCCCCAACAAAAAAAAAGAAGUCUAUAUGAGUAUAGGCCCAAUAAGUAGUAACCUAAGUCCAUUUUAAAUAAAACGCCCAAAGGACAACUUUUCGAUAAAGCGCUAAAGGUAAAUUUAUACAAAAAGUGACCUAAAUCUAUUUUCUACAAAGAACGACCUAGGUCCACUCUUCAUGAAGAAGGACAUAGGUCCAUUCUAAAUAAAACGCCCAAAGGGCAACUCUUCGGCAAAGCGGUAAAGGUAAGUUUCUACAAAAAGUGACCUAGAUCCAUUUUCUUCAAAGAGCGACCUAGGUCCACUCUUCAUAAAGAAGGACCUAGGUCCAUUCUAAAUAAAACACCCAAAUGGAAACUCUUCGACAAAGCGCUAAAGGUAAGUUUCUACAAAAGUGACCUAGAUCUAUUUUCUACAGAGAGCGACCUAGGUCCACUAUUCAUAAAGAAGGACCUAGGUCCAUUUUAAACGCCCAAAGGACAACUCUUCAGCAAAACGCUAAACGUUUUUUCUAUAAAAAGCGACCUAGGUCUAUUCAUUAUAAAGAAUGACUUAGGUCCAUUUUCUACGGAUAAUGACCUAGAUGUUCAAUAUUUACUUGAAAGUAACAUUCUACAAAGGUUACAUACAUGCGAAAUGCCGCAAAACUAAUCCUCUUUACGAAGAACCAACGUAAGCGCUGCAGUGCUCAAGCCCAAUGAAGGUCAAGAGCUCGAAAUCAUGACAAGUGUUCAAAGAAGACUUAACAGUGAGCAAGCUUGACACGUAAUGACAAGUGUCUUCAUGCAUGAGUUUUGCGGACACUUGUCACUAAAACAAUGCCAUGUGUCACGAUAAUACCUCCACCUCAUGAAUCAAAUUGCCUACAUAAUGAUCAAAACUUCCCACACUAGAAGGAGGAAAAAAUGGUAACGAAAUGUUGUCCUUCUUUCUUUUAAUUCUCUCUCUAUAAUCAAAUUUGAAAUGCUGACUUAAGCGUCGGAGGGUCAUCGUCGGCAACCCCGGCACCGUUUGAUAUUUUAAUUUCUUUUGCAGAACCUUUGACAAUAGAAACUUUUAUAUCAUGGAGAGAUGAUUCACAAAGCUUAAUAUAGAAAGGAAUCCAAAGCAAAAAGUUAGUUAUUACUUGUCGAGUAAAAAAUUGCAACGACAGUUGGCGCCGUCUGCUGGGACGAAUAAAAAGCCAAUGUGAUCAUCUUGUGCAUGGAUGACAAUUAUAACUACUCCGAGCUUGAUGCUAAUAAUGAAAGUUCCAGGGAUGCCGAGAUUUAUUUUCGACGACAAAUAUAUGUUGUAGAUCCUGGAAGUGAAUCUACUGUCCCAAUUCAUCCACUUAACCUCCAAAAAAAUCCAAAUCAACAAUUUCAUGCAUAACAUCUACAGUCGGAUCCAAAUGUUCAGCCUCGACGCUAAAGGCGCGACAGGAUUACCUGACUUUAGAGGAAAAUAGAGCAGUUGACAACAAACUUCAAUAGAAUGUUCGAUUAAUUUCAAGCCCGAAAUGAUGAAUAAGCUAACUACAGCAGCUUUGAUAGCAAUGCAGCAAACUCCGUCUCUUCCCGAACAAUGGUUCAAUUUAUAGUGGUAGAUCAACCGAGCGCAUACAAUUCAGUCUUAGGAUGACCAACCUUAUAUGCUAUUAAGGCCGCAACUUUUGUUUAUCACUAUACUUUGAAGUUUCCUACGGAGGUUGGCAUAAGAGUAGUUCGAGGAAAUUAGAAAGAGACUCAAGAAUGUUAUGAGAUUUCCUUCAAGAAAGGAAAUGAAUCAAUUCAAAUCACAAGUCUGGACCCCAGAAUAAUAAGGAAUGAUCAACGAGCGAAUCACGUUGAAGACUUGGUCGAAAUUCCCCUUGGAGAUGAUCUCAACAAGGCAAUUAAAAUUGGGUCCCAAUUAGUCAAUCCACUUAGAGAACAACUUGUGGAUUUCCUAAAGGAAUACUCAGAUGUGUUUGCAUGGACUCACCAGGAUAUGCCGGGAAUUGAUCCGAGGAUAAUUGUUCAUCGCUUAAGUACUUCUUACUCUUAGCCGUCUCCUCAACUAUUUUCAAUUCUUUGUAUAAAACUUUAAAGAAUAAUUUUUUUUAAUCAUUUUCUUGCAUAUCAACUUCUUUUUUCAAAAAAAAAAAAAAGUUACUGAUUAACUAUUUGAGUCCACUUGAUAUAUAUAAUCAUUUUCAUAUGCGAGCGCCCUCAUUUUUUUUUUUAAUGCAGAGGAGCUGUUAAGCUAAGCGGUUUAAUAAAGUUGUAUUUUAAUACACUAUAAAGCCAUACAGUUUGAAAGUAUUAAACCGCACAGCUUAAAAGCGUGUCUGCAUGAUAUAUUUCCAAGAUACGUACAAUUGAUUCAAGUCUCAAAAGUAUGUUGUGACUCUUUUAUUUAAUAUGAAAUUUAUUUUUUAUGUUUCUACCCUUUUUGUCCUCCCUAAAUUAACAUAAAAUGAUAUGAUUUAAUAUCAAGGGCAUAAGUUCAAGUUCUGAAUAUGAUGAUGAUGAUAUCAUCAUCAUCAUUAUCGUCGUCGUCGAAAAGUAAAACUAAAACCCUAGAUCUUGAAACUUGAAACCUAUACCAUUCAUAUCACUCUUCACUUUUAUUAAAACCAAUAAAAUUAAUGGUCAUUUAUAUAUUGAACAUACACAUUUAUUGGACAAAGCAGGUACAUUCAAGCUUCAACUAAACAUAAUUAUUAGAAGAACCAAAGAUGAGCCGAAACAACAAAUCAAAGCUCACAGUGAGACAACCCUUUAUUCAAUUAGCAAACAAAUUCGAAAUCAAAGAGGCCAAUCAUGAUGCAAUUUAGGCAUAGAUAUCAGGACUAGCCAAAAGUUAGGCUUCCACAAUCUUGUACAAUGCAAUUGCUUUCUCUUCGGCGUCCUUCAUCAACUCUUCUUUGAGCUCUUGAUCACCCUUUAUAUGGCACUCAGCAGCAACCUUGCAAAUGCUUCCACCGUUGCCAGAAGCCUCGAACUUAACAUCGUACACUGCUUUCUCAAAGAUUUCAGCUGCUCCACCACCUUCAUAGACAGUAUACUUGCAUGUAAAAUUAUUCUUGUCAAGUGCAUCAAUUCUUUGCUCCGAAUGCUUGAAAUAACCACCUGUGAAUUACAUUGAAUCUUCAUUAGCUUAUCUAAGUUAUGCUCUAUGGACAACAUGCAUGAUACGCUUUAUGAACAACAUGCACGAUGUAAUGUUUAAUUAGAAAAAUGACCAAGCCUUUUUUUUCCCCCCUUCGAAAUUAAUCAUUUCAUUGCCAUGAGCCACUCCGACAUUACAAAGUUAAAUAAUUUGAUAUAUAUAUACUUUUGAAAUAGAAAUCUGACCAUUGGGGGGAAAAAAAAGAAUUGUCACGCUAAUUAUGAAGUUAAAAAGUUGACGGAUAAUGAAAUAUUAUUAAUGCCAGAUUCGAUUAAUUUGAAUCAUCGUACGAAAGGGAAUUUUGGACUUUAGAAAAUUAACAAUGCUCCAUCAAUUUGAAUCGUCGUACAAGAUUUACCAUCAGCAAAGUUCCAUAGUUUGAUAGUGCCCACACCUCCAUCUCCUUAAAGAAUAUCAAUGCCCUUGAAUGCUUGUGGCUCUAUCUACGGUAAAAGAUUGCGGGAGUCAACGAAAUUAAAGCCUUGAAAAAUCUUGAAGGAGCAACAGCAGCUGAAGCCUCUUUCUCAAAGCGAAUGACACCCAUGUUAAUUAGCUUAAAAAGAGAAAGAGAAAUGCAGAGACUACAAGAAAUUAAAAUGAUGAAAGAAUUUGCCUCAAAUGCAGAUGAUUUUUGAGUUUGUGAUGAGAAUGAAGAACAACUCAAGGGUUUGUAUCGACAUGGAAAUGAGUGAUAACUUGGUUGAAUUCAAAGCAUCCAUAUUCCAUUUAGAGAAUGGCAUAAUGCCUACCCGUACGAUUUGGUGUCUGCAUGGGGAGAAAAAGGAUUUUGAUAUUGAAUAUGAGAUUAAUGAAGAAGUGAUAAGUUCAUAGGAAUACAAUGAUAUGCAAAAUUUAAUUAGAGAGAUUUUUACAGAAGACCCAAAUUCGGGUGCAGAGAGAUUUUUUAAUUUGGUAAAAGAGGCAAAACAUCCAUUAUAUCCUGGUUGCGAGAAUUUCUCUAAUUUGUCUUUUAUUGUAAAGCUUAUGCAUAUCAAGUGUAUUAAUGUUUGGGGCGACAAGUCUUUUGAUAUGUUAUAGAAUUGUUGACUGAUGCAUUUCCUCUGUGUGAGAAGUUACCUACAUCAAACUACUGGGCAAAGAAAUUUGUGAAAGAUCUCAGUCUCCAUUAUGGAAAAAUUGAUGCGUGCAAGAAUGAUUGUGUGAUUUAUUAUAAGGAGCUAGCAAAUGCAACCCAUUGUCCCACUUGUGAGGUUUCUAGAUGGAAGGUCAACAAUGGGAGGACGAAAAAGAUUGCAUGGAAGGUUAUACGUUAUUUUCCGCUGAAGCCUAGACUUUAGAGGUUAUUUAUGUCUUGAAAGAUAGCAACAUAUAUGAGAUUGAUGCAGAGUGUUGUCGCUCGUGAGUAGGAUACCUUUCGAAGGCCAUAACUUAGGUUACAUGUGUCUGUUUUUGGUAUAUAAUAUACCAUUUCGAAGCUUACGACAAGAUGAACAAUAUCCCAAAAGCUGUUCGGCCUCAUAGUUUGGAGCUGGAAAUUCUGCUUUUCUCUUGGUCGUUUCUAGUUUUAAGAUUUUUUGUUAUUUUUCCUGAUUCUUCUAGGAUUUUUAUCUUUUUUUUAGAACUUCGAUUUGAGUGCCUUUAUUUUUCUUUUCUUAGUUUGAUUAGGAGAAUUUAAUUAUCAUAUUAUAUUUUGGGUUUGCCUAUUUUGAAAAAUUUGCAAUAUUUAAUCUCAUUAUAAAAGACUUUCAAAAAUCUAAUUUUAUUUAUUCAGACUUUCAAUAAAAUUUAUCAUUAUUCAGAAAUUUAGUUUCUUUUAUCAAGCAAACUCAAUAAUAUUUCCAUUUCGUCAGAGAUGGCAUUUUGAAAAGCAUGUAAUGAUAGCAUUUUGAAAAGCGUGUAAUGAUGGCAUCUUAAGACAUCUUGCAGAUGCUGAGGGUUGGAAAUCCUUUGAUAAUAUUCACGAGUCUCUUACCAGUGAUCCAAGAAAUGUACGAAUCGGGUUAGCAACAAAUAGGUUUAGGCCUUUUAGAAAUAUUAAUCUUAGUUAUAGUGUAUGGCCUAUGGUAUUAUUUUCGUAUAAUCUUCCACUUUGGAUUGGAUGUGUAUGAAAGGGCCUAACAUGUUUAUAUCUUUGCUUAUACUAGGACCGAAAGGUCCAAGCAAUGAUUUUGACAUAUACUUGCAACCAUUGAUUGAUGAGUUGAAAGAGUUGUGGGAAGUCGGUGCAUAUACAUAUGACAUUUCAAUAAAACAAAAUUUUCAAAUGAGAGUUAAGAGUCUUAUGGAGUGUAAAUGACUUUCCCACGUGUAGUAAUUUGUUAGGAUGGUGUACAAAAGGGAUUAGCAUUUCCUUGUUAUGCAUCUCAAAAUUGUUUAUUUAGGUUAUCACAUGGUCAAAUUUUGGCUGUAUGGAUCAUCUUUAGUUUUUAUUAAAAAAGCACAGUCGGCGCAAUCAGAACAAAGAAUGUACAUAAUAAAUCUCGACCAGAGGGGUCCAUUGCAAAAGCUUAUUUGGUAGAUGAAUGUUUCACGUUUUAUUCACGCUAUUUGACUAAGGUUGAAACUAAAUUUAAUAGAGUUGAGCAGAAUUAUGAUGGAGGUUAAUCAUCAGUUGAUAUACCUCACACUACCAAAAGAAUAGUCCUUAUUGACAUUAGAAUAAUAUCGGUAAUUACUUUCAGUGAGACUUAUUAAUUAUAUCAACAAUCUGAGAAUUAGAAAAAUAGUAAUACUUGUUUAUGGUGCACGAACAUGGUCUCAAUGAUUACUAUCACUACAGUAUCAACAAUAUAUGACACCAUAGUGUUUGUAGUUGUUGAUAUUAUAUUAGUGUCUAUGAUUAUUGUUACCAUGGUAUCACUAUUUAAUUUAUUUAAAAAAUAAAAAAUGUGACUUAACUCAUUACCUAUUGAUUUACUGAUAAAAUUAAAAAGCACCAUAAAAUAACGAAAAAAAAACUGAUUUAUAUUACAAAAUCUUUCAUUUCAUAUUCAAAUAUUAUUAAUAUAUAUUACAAUUAUACCAACUACAAAUUAAAACAAGUUAUAAAAGAAACAUACAAAUUCAUAAUAUCUCAAAUAUAGUUUGAAAUGCACAGAAGUAGAUAUUCAGAUUGAAAAAAAAAAUACAAGUAUUUAUUUUGCAACAAAAUUCUCCUCAUUGCCUCUACACCUUGAACUUCAUUGUUUUCCCACCUAUAGGUGUAACAUAUAAAAUUAAUUAGUAUGCUACACAAAUUAAGUCUUGGACAUUUACAACCAAAAAUAUAAUCAUAUAUUACAUUAGUAUUGUAUGCUACAAAUAACUUGGCAGCACAUGGCCCACUCAUAAAAAAGUUACGAAAGAUCAUCAAUAGUGUACUCAUCACAUCCAACAUCAAAUCCAAUUACAAACAAGUUAGUAUAUAUUACAAACUUCAAAACUAAAACAAUAAUUUGUAACCAAUCACUCGACAUUUUCUAGAAAUUACAAAAAGCAAUAACAUGCCAAUAAACAAUACCAAUACACUUAACAGUAAUCACCAAAGAUCCUAACAAGCUUAGAAUUGAUAUUAAUCCUUUUUAUCUUAAGUAUUCUUAGGCUAUCACUAAUGAAUUAAAUAAGUAUCCUUAAGCCACAAAAAGAAAAAGGCAUGGUACCAAACUCUUGCAUACGUUCCAAUUGCCUAUCAAAUCUUUAAUACACAAUUAUAAGAAUCUAGAGCCAAAGUACAACAUCACAAACUUCACUUCAGCAAAAAGAGAACUAAACAUAUUCAGUUAUCGAGGUAAAGCAAUAAAAAAAAAGGCUUAAGGUCAUUUAGAUAAAGAAACCAAAAGGAAAGAUCGAAUAAGCCGUUUGCUUUCAUCACUUGCUGAGCAAUCAUCUUCAAAAACGAAACAACUGAAAUUCAAAGAGGUAAUUUAAUAGUUUUGGGUAUGGGCUUUUAAUUCUUCUCUCCAGAUUUUUUUUUUCUCUGAAAUAACGUUAAAACAAUAUUUUUUUUGUAUAAUUUCAGCAAAGGGCCAGAUUGCUCAAGAGCUAAUUUCAUCUCAAGAUUGUCUUGUUCCUCUUGCCUGGCUUUCAUCAUUGGUUUCUCAUGUGAGCUAGCUUUUGACAUUACUUUACCUUGUUCUUCCUUUAUUAUGAAUUUAUUCACGCUUUUUACUAUAUAAUUUAAGGUCUUUGUUCACUUUUAUUAAAAAUUAUGGUAUAUGAAUAGUAGUGCUGGCUUGUUUGCAUAAUUGUCUUCGAUAUUGACUGUAUUACAAUAUUUUUUGUUGCAAUUUUGACAUAUUUCUUAUUGUGAUUGUUUAAUUAGCCUAGACUGUAACGAGCAUGAAGAUUUAAUGAAUGUUAAAAUUUAAGUAACAUUUAAAAUUUGUACACCAGUUGUUUGUUAUAACGCCAUGUGUUAUUUUCAAUAGAUUUUUUUUAACAUGUAGCAUCAAUUUGACAAUAUUUUUUAAUUUUUUUUCAAGAUGCAGUUUUUGAUAAAGAAUAAAACAAAUGAUUAAGAGUGUUGUGAUACAAUCUUCAAAUUAGAGCAUAUGAUAAUUUAAAAGUAAUUGAUGUCCCAAGAGUGAAAUUAUGAUACUUCAUCUCAAAGCAACUUAUAUUGUUAGCUAAUUUUUGAGUCAGUUUAACAAUUUACUAUCCAAAUAAUUUUUUUUUUAAGUAUUACAAAAAUAUAUAUGUUGUAAUUUCAUCUCAAAGCAGCAAUGCACAUAAAGUGUUAACGAAAUACAAUAAAAAAUUUGUUGAGUAUUAAAUAGUAAUAAUUCUCGUGAUGAAAUUAGAAUAGGUUAAUUGGCCUAAAUACUAUUCAAUAUCUAGCUUUAAAGGACGCGUGGCAUUAGACUUACUUGCUAAGAUAUUGGAGUAGUUUUGAUGCAAUUUUCUGUCAUGCCUGCAGAUUCAACUUGCUAAGAUUUUGGUUAUGCCUUCAGGUUCAAGCAUUGUCGCUGAUUAUGUGAGCUGCUGCGAUUAUUGAGCAUGGCUUUAGAUUCAAUUUGAGCAAAUGUAAUUGUUUCUCUUAAAAUGAUGUAAUUGGUGUAAGGAGAGGAUUGUAAUCUCGAAUGAUUUAUGGUUCCAGAAAAAAAGAAAUUUUCUUUAUAUAAACUUGCAACAAUAUGAAUGUAAAUUUUUAUGAUAUUAGGAAUAUUUAAUAACAGUAUAGUUGAAAUAAAUUAAGCACAAAAAAAAAUCAAUCAGCAUAAAAUGCCACAAGAUAAACAUCUAUCAUUAAUUUGUGACAGAAUUAUGAUGUUAUGUAAGCAUAAAAUUUAUUUGCCAUGUCAAAUGCCACGUUUGCAAAAUGAGAUGCCUCGACAUUUGCCACAUCAGAUUCCAUGAAAGUAAAGAAUUGUAACACAAUUCCUUGAGAGAGAUAUUUUGUCACUAAUUAUUGAAUUUUCUGUCGCUAUAUUCUUACAAAGACUUUUUUUUUGACAUAAUAAAAUUAUGUCAGUAACAUGAUUUGUAACAAAAUUAUUCUGUCAAAAAAAAAAACCCAAUUUUGUAGUGGUGUAGGAUGGUGGAGUUUCAUACUGUAGAACAUUGAAAGAAAUUAUUGAGUUAUUAUACAGAAGGGAACAAAGUUGUUUUGUUCAAUUGUGAGUGUAUGACAUAGCUGGAGAAGGAAUAGGUUACUAAAACGAUCCGCCCCGAAUCCCCCCAGCCGAGUCUAUCUAGUCUCAUCAAAACGGACUUGAUAAAAAUUCUAUUAGUAAAGAUUCUGUCGAAAAUUCAGCAGAGUCUCCUUUAUAUAUAUAACACUCCCAAUACAAUUCAAUAUACAACAAACUCCAGUGAUCAACAUCCUCAACCAAAAUGCUGAGUUUUAUAUCUCCAGAGUCUCAAAAGAUAAUAUUAUAACUAAUAUUAAUAUCUCAGUUUAUUCUUAUUCCCAAAAGAAUAAUAUAACAAAAUUAUACAAUCCUAACAGGACGAGAUAACCAAGAUGUCCUAACAAAAACAUUUAUAUCUUCUAACACCAUCACGUGGCCAAGACUCAAUAUAUUUACAGUGGCUGGGUCGGUCUGGUGUACCUGCAACCUCCUGGUGAGGGGGGAAAAUAUAAUAAAAACGGGGUGAAUUUAAAACUCAGUGAGAUCGGUGAGUGGAUAGUAGUUUUGAAAAUUAAUUCUUACUUUAAAAGAAAUAAUCAUAUCAUUUCCAAACACGAUUUCAUUAAACCAUAAGCGAGAAACCAGUAAUAAAUCUUUAAACAUUUAAAUCAUAUUACUAACCAUGGAAAUCAUAUCACAAUAUCAUAUAGAAUUCACAAAUCUAAAAAUCAUCACCAAACAAGUACCCAUGGAAAUAAUCUCGUCAUAUCCGGACCUCAACGGACGGGCAAUGACGUACUAUCUAGGUAAUGUCAAGCCCCGGAACUACACGGAUAGACAGGAAAAUACCAUCUCAUAUCUCAUCAUAUCUGUGCAUGCAUAAUCUAGUCCCCAAAGGACAAAAGCGCCAAAGCACAUGGCCCAAAGCCUCUGUGUGUACUCAGACGGGCCCCAAAGGCCAGUAUCUCAUCUGUAUCAUCUGUAUCUCAAUAUAUGUCUGUAUCUCAUAUCUGUAUCUCUGUAAUAAUCAUACCGCAUGCAUAUGCCCCCAAAAGGCAAAAGCGCCCAAACACACGACCCAAAACUUCUAUGUGUGUUCAGACGGGCCCCAAAGGUCUCUCAUCUCAUAUCACAUGUAUCACUGUAUCUGGAGGGAAAGGGUAAUGUCUAAUGAUUUCAAAAACAAUCAUUAUACUUAUAAUCACAUACCUUUUAAUCAUACUUUAAAUCAUACCACAUUUGAAUCCACUUUUCUUAUCUUUAAAAUAUUAUCAUGCUUAUUCAAAAUCGAUACGCAAAAUCAUUAACCAAACAUUUUAAUAAAAUACCAAUGCGUGAAUAAAAUCCAUUUCGAGAAAUCAUUAAAUCAGAACAUUUAAAAUACUUAUUUCGCAAACAUGCUUUACUAUCAUCGCUAACUAUGAAAAUAAGUUUUGUAUAUUCCACUCACAGUGACGGUGUUCACGGUCGGUUAUCGUCCACGUCCGCGGACCGGUUCUUGCUCGCGGAUCCUCCUAAAUCAAGGAAACGACAUAAUUAUUUUCCGUAAAUCAAAAUUAGGACUAAAUUUUAUGCAAUAAACUCGAAACGAACAUCUAUCCAUAAUUGACAACUCCUGUGUCCAUAAAAUUACUAAAAUGCUCUUGAGUCCGUAGAUCAUUAACAUGCUCUGAAAUCGUAAAUCACUGAAUUACCCUCAAAAUCGUAAUUAUACCCAAUCCUCAAUUCUAGGAAUUACUAAAAUAUCCACAGGCUCAGAAAUUACAAAAUUGCCCUCAUAGUGUGAAAUUACCAAAAUGCCCUUGCCGGUCAACGGUCACUGGAAUUUGGUCAACAUUGGCUAGGAAGCUCAAAUCUUAAAGUUCCAAUCACGCUGAGUUCAAUGGUACCGGCGGUGAGCUCCAAUGAGCGGCAACGACGCCGGAAUCUAGCUCAGCAGCCGUGAAUUCCAACAAUCGACCGGCGGCAAAACAGUGACUCUCGGUGCCUAUGGAUGGUCGGAAAUGGAAGAGGGAGUCGCAGGGAACAAAAUCCAACCGAUGGUGUCACCCAAACCAGUAACAUGAUUUGUAACAAAAUUAUUCUGUAAAAAAAAAACCCAAUUUUGUAGUGGUGUAGGAUGGUGGAGUUUCAUACUAUAGAACAUUGAAAGAAAUUAUUGAGUUAUUAUACAAAAGGGAACAAAGUUGUUUUGUUCAAUUGUGAUUGGUAUGACAUAGCUGGAGAAGGAAUAGUUUACAAAAGAGAUUUUCAUGGAAUAUUUAUUAGUAAUAAAAAGCGAAAAUUAAAUACUACAAAGCCAUUUGUGUUAGCAUCCCAAGCAACUCAAGCAUAUUAUUUAAGAGGAUUGAAAGAUACUAUAUGAAGUGUUAUAGUAAAAACAAAGUCUUGAAAUCUAUAUAACAUUCCAGUGGAUCAACAAGAGCCAUUCCAAGAAGAGACUCAUUUAAUUCAUGAUUAUUCGACGAAAAUGCAUGAAGAAGAUAACAUUCGUUGGAAUUUACUUAUUAAUUAUUCUUUUUUCAUUUUUUAAUUGAAUUUUAUAAUAAUUCGAUAUGGUUAUAUUAUUGCUUUCAGUGUUAGUUCAGUAAUGUUAUUAUUUGUGGUUUUUUUUUUCCUUUUUAUGUUGUUGCCUUAUUCAAAAUUGAUUCAUGUAAAUUACUUCAACUCUUGUUCUUAAAUUAUAUUGCUAUUGUUGGGUUUUUUUUUAUGUAUUAACAUGUUAUUAAUUAAUUAUAUAUUUUGAUUGAACAAUCAUGGCUAAGGAAAACAAAGAUCAGGUUAAUGCAUCAAUGGAUUCAAAAAAGACUUGUAGACCAUCAAGUGGUGAUCAAAUACGAAGAGUACCGAAGAUGAGAGAAGGGUCUGAUCAUCUAUAUAAGCAGCAGUUGAAAGGUAUGUUGAUCAAGGUUGUGGUGUUCAAGCCUUUAAUUAAUGAAAUUCAGUUUUUAGUAUAUUUUUAAUUUCAAUGUUUUAUUUUGUAUACAUAUUAAUUUAAGAAAAACAAAAGUAUUUAUAAAAAGCUCUAAAGGAAAAAUCAGUUGGUCAACUUUCUAUUUCACAAGGUAAAAUUAUAUAAUUAAACUUUAUUUGUCACAUGAUUUAUGUAAUAAUGUUGAAAAUUUGUUCCAUUAUAUUCUAAUUUUAUUUAUGCUUUAUAUUUUGUUUUUAUUUGAUUUUAAUAGAGAUGGCAAGAAAAAAUAAAACUUGUCAAAUCUUUAAUAGAAUUUGUCAAAUCUCCACUUUCUAUAACCGUAUUGAGGUUGGUGUAUCAUAUCAUGCUGUGAUUGGUGAAUUAUUGUUGAGUGUUGGAGAAUUCAUAUUUAUAAAUGAUCAAAUCGUCUCCAAGCUUCAAUAACAUUUCUAUUUUUAUGUAUUUAAGUCUUUUAAACUUUGAUUGUGUGUGUUUUGUUAUAAUUUAAGUAUUUUAUGUAUUUUAAGGGUAUUUUAGUUAUUUCACCAUUAAUGAGAAGUUGGACAAUAAAAUGGAUAUUAUGUUUUAGUUCAGAAUAGCUAAAAAACUCAGGAAGAACAUAAAGGGAAAAAUUAUAAUUUUAGAAUUUUAGUGGAGUCCAAAUAUCGUGACAUUGACUAGAUGAUGUGGCAUUGAUCGACUGACGUGGCAGUAUCUUAUGGGAUUGAACAAAUAUUGAUGUGACUUUGAAUGAUGAUGUGGCUUUGACUAAGAUAAUAUGUCAUUGACGGAUGAUAUGACAACAUAAUAUUAGUCAGUAAAUCAUCUUGGGGCAUCAAGUACCAGCAGCUGAUGAGAUAUGUUUUAAUGACCAUAAUUCAAACAGAGAAAUUAAUUUAGUUUCUAUUUCAUAACGAUUUUUUUUAUCCUAGUUAAAUUUACAAUUUGUUUUUUUUUAUUACCUGUUAACUAAAGCUAAUGUUGUUUUAUACUUUUCUACUCACAACCAUGACAAGAAACCCACUACUCAUUCUAGUUCAUCUAAAAACCGAAAUAAUUUAGCUCAACGAUGUCAGAAUACUUUACAAUUGCAAGAUGUUCCCACAGAUGAACAUGCAAGCACAAAUGGUAAUUUUUUAGCUAAUUGAAUUUACUAUUUAUUAAUUUCAAACUAGCCAUUCUUCAUUAUAUAUGCAUGUUGAUUUAUAGGUCAAGGUAUUACUGCCUCCAAAAAACAGGAAAAGGGAAAGGCAAAUGUAAAAUUGGGGAAGGUAGGCCCGUUGAAGUUUACAAAAUAUUUUAUUUACAUAAAAUAAGAAAUUCACAAUGCUGCAAGUUGAUUAAUUAUAUAAAUUAAUAGUAAAUAUCAUCUCUUUCUGUAUUUCAUCACAUGUAUGUAAUCAAAGCACUCUCUUAAUUAUGUUCAAUUUUCAAAUUGUUAUUUCAGGCUUAUUACUCCUUAUGCUAUACGUACAGUAGGUGAUCUCUUUAAUCUAUAAAUUAAUGGACCUUAGAUUACAUUUUUUGAGUACCCAUAAAUAGAACUAGAUCGCUUGUUUAACUGAUUUAAAAAUAAGUUCACAUUUGAUGGUCUUAAAGAGGAGUUGAACGCUGCAUUUUCUUCUCAAGUUAAAUAAAGAUUUAAAGAUUAUAUAUAUGAAGAGUAUUAGAGAUGAAGUCCUCAAAAUAUAUAAGACAGAUAGGGAGCAUUAUUCUAAUCGCCCAACAAAUCUUCAGAAAUCUGUAUGGCAUCAAAUGGUGGAAAAGUCGUUGAGUGAGAAAUGGAAGGUUUUAUAUAUUAAAUAUUAAUGAUUGCUAGGGGACCGCCUAAGCCAGUUUGUAAAAAUUCGUCCAGCCCCCUAUACUCUAUAUUAUUUAUAAUUUGUUUAUAAGUAUUACAAAACUUUCUGAAUUAUAAAAUUUCGUUUAACCUCUUACACUCAAUUUUAUUUUAUUGAAACCCUAGAGUACGAAUUCGCCCCCUAUAAUUUCAAAUUUCUAAAAUAACCUCCAUUUAAUUAAUAACUAUUAUUUUAUUAUAAUCAUAAAUAUAAUUAUAUUUUUAAAUAGAUUAUUAUUGUUAUUAUUAAUAACAAGAAUAAAAAGUAUUAUAAUUAAUUAAUCUAUUAACAAUAAUUAAUAAUAAUUUUUUUAUUAAAUUAAUAAUAAUAAUUAACGAUAAUUAUUAUUAAUAAUUAAUUUUUGAAAAAUAAUAACAAUAACAAUAAUUAAAAUAUAAAAUAAUAAUUAUGAUAAAAAUUAAUUAAUGAUUUUAUAGCAAUGUUACAAUUAACUCAUUCUGAUUUUUAUUCUAAGACAAAAUAAACAGAUAAAUGGUAAUACAACUCAUUCAAAUUACGAUUUCUGCAGUUCAAGUAAAUAAAUUAUUCUGAUUCUAAUUCCUCAUUUUGAUUCUAGCUAUUUUGAUUGUAAUUCAUUAAUUUGAUUAUUGUUUAGUGAAUGCACUAUAAAAUUCAUAAUACUUAUGAAUAAAUUGUACAUAAUAUAGAGUGGUCUAAUUGAAAAUUUUAUUUGCUUGAACUGCAGGAAUUGUAAUUAAAAUGAGCUUUGUUACCAUUUAUGUGUUUACUUUAUCUUAGAAUUAAAAUCAGAAUGAGUUAAAUUAUAAACAAUUGCUAUAAAAUCAUUCAUUAAUUUUUAUCAUAAUAAAUAUUUUAUAUUUUAAUUAUUUUUAUUGUUAUUAUUAUUCAAAAAUUUAAUUAUUAAUAAUAAUUAUCGUUAAUUAUUAUUAUUAUUAACAAUUUAACAAAAAAACUAUUAUUAAUUAUUGUUAUAGAUUAAUUAAUUAUAAUACUUUUUAUUCUUGUUAUUAAUAAUAACAAUAAUAAUAUAUUUAAAAAAUAUAAUUAUAUUUAUGAUUAUAAUAGAAUAAUAGUUAUAAUUAUAAUUCAUUUGAUAAUAAUUAUGUUUUUUAAUUAAAUGGAGGUUAUUUUAGAAAUUUAAAAUUAUAGAGGGUGAAUUCGUACUCUAGGGUUUCAAUAAAAUAAAAUUGAGUGUAAGAAGCCAAACGAAAUUUUAAAAUUCAAAAAAUUUUAUAAUACUUACAAAUAAAUUAUAAAUAACAUAGAGUAUAGGGAGUUCGACGAAUCUUUACAGGCUGGCCGUAAGGUUGAAAAGGAUAUCAUUCAAACUUGACCCAUUUGUUUUUAUAGUGACUAACCAUUGGACUAUUAUGUAUUUGUUUAAUCUUUUUCAUUUUGAUGGUUAAUGACUAAAAAAAAAAAUUAUUUCUAGUUCUAUUUAGGCAUUUUUAUAUUUAGCAAUUGUAUUGAUCUGUUAUUUCUUUUUUAUUUCGAAAUCUUUUAUAUUGAUUAUUAGAAUCUGAUGAUAAUUCCUUUUUUGUUGGUUAACUUUUGCUAAUAAAAUUUAAGUGCUUAUCUUUCCCAUUGAUUCUCUAUUCAUAUAUGGUAAAUUUAAUAAUUUGAUCAUAAAGAAGUGUUUUUUUCAUUCAUAGUUAUGUUAUAUAUGAAUCUAUAUGCUAAGCUUGAAAUUAAUCUGACCAUGUUGAGUAGGUUAUAUUUAGCGCAUGUGAAUGUAAUGAUUGAGUUUAUUUAAAUCUUAUGCAAUAAUUUUAAUUUCAACUUAGUUAAAUAAUUUUGGUUUACUAUAUUGGAUGUAAUGAAAUAUUUUUUUCUUUUUAUGUAGAAAUCGAGUAGAAUAAGUGCAUCGAAUUGUAACAAAUCAUCUGAAGUAGUGCUUACAACUGGAUAAGUUAAAAUGUUGAAGAAGAAAAAGGAGCCAUUAAAUGAUCAUAUUUGUCAUAAAUUUUAUUAUAUUUAUAUUUUUUCAUAGAAUUUUUUUUAAAUGAUUUACUUUGCUACUAUAAAAAAAUUAUUUUGAUUCUUAAUAUUUCAAUUUUAUUAUAGAAAUUAUUUAAUUAUGUAACAUUAUUAUUAUUAUUGUUAUUAUGUUGAUAUGCUGAGCAAAAUGGGAAUAAUCCUAGUCCAAUAGAUUUUCUUAGAUGUUCCAUGUGCGAAAGGAUGGAACUUGGCCUAGUGAUAAGCUCAGGAACUGCAUAUGUUAAUUUUUUUUUUUUAAUUUCAAAAGUGUGUAUUAUUAUCAUUAUUGGAUAUGUUAUUUAAUUAUUAUGUUCAUAUUUUGAUGAGGCACAGAUGAUAUCAAAGAGGAAUGAAUUACAUGAGUCAUUUGAUGAAGAUCCAUUAAGAAAACAAUGAGAUAUAUAUCUUGAUGUCAUAAGAGUUGUUAAGCAUGGUCACACUCUUAGAGGCCUCAAAACGAAGGAUGUAUAUGGAUCCACUUCAAGCUGACCUUGCAACAAAAAGAAAUGUAUACAACAUGAGGAGUUUUUGUUGAGUACUUUGCAAGUGGCGCAAGAGCAACUGACUAUUGUACAGAAAAAAGUGGAAGAUUUAGAAGCAAAAAAAUCUCAUUCUCAACCUAUUGUGGCUUCAUCUUCAUUCUUCAAUAAUAUAAUGUUCUUUUCAAUCUCAAUUUUUUUUUUUAAUUUAUAUAAUUCGUUGUCAAUUAAUUAUUUUAAAUACUCGAUCAUUUAAUUUUUCUUUAUAGAAUCCAAUUGAAAAAUUGAAUGCAAAUGCCGAUGGUAGUGCAAAUUCUGAAAGUAGCGGUGGUGGAAAUUCUAAUGAUGUGGUGGUACUGAUUCAGAUGACAAUGGUGGUGCUAAUUCAGAGGAUGAUGAUAAUUUAGAUGAUGAUGUUACGGUGAUUUAAAAGACGAUAGUGAUGCUAAUUCAGAUGGCUUUGAUGGUACUAGAUAUUUAUAUGAUUUAUCUCAUUUGAAAUAAUAUAAUAAUGAUUUAUUUUUUAUUAUGAAAUGUUUUUGGACAAUAUGAAUGGUGACGAUUUCGAUUGAAUUGUUUAGGAAAACUCAUUCAUUUUAUAAUAACUACCUAAAUCUUUAUCAAAAAAAAAAAAACUACCUAAAUCUAUUUUCAACAAUCAUAUGUUCUUAAAAAUUGUAUUAGACAGUUGAAAUAAUUGUUGUUCCAAUUGCUAGUGGCAAUUAAUAAAAUAAAUUUCAACCGCGUAGAUUAUUUUCAAUUAUUUAUCCCAUUAAAAGCAGAGAAUUUCCAACAAAGAUAAAUCAUCAAAAAUAAUACUUUUCUGACUAUGAAUGCAUUAUUUAUAACAGAACAAUUCAAUUACAAAUAUUACUUAUUUCGAUUCAUAUGUAGUAUUUUCGAUUACAAAAUCAAUUAGAAUAAUAUUUUUCCAACUACAACUUAGUUUUUUUUUUUGGGCAGUUUUUACCCCUCACAAUUAAUGUAUUUUCAACAUAAUUAAUUGAAAUUGCUAUUACAAAAGCUAUCGCUAAAGCCAAUUGAAAAUAGUACUUUUAAUGGCUCAAAGUGAUCAUAAAAAUUAUUCAUUAGUUGUGUGUUUAUAUUAUUUCUAAUAUGCAUUAAUAAUUUUUCCAUGGCUAAUUUUGCUCGAAAAAAGUCUAAUUUUUUAAGCUAGCAAAAGCAAGACCCUAUUAAAAGUUCAAUUUAGAAUUUAAUUAGUCACUAAAAUUAUGUUCUCACUUUUAAUUAGGCAAAGCCCAUGCACUAAAGGCCUUUAUCUUGUUUUGAACUUUACAACAAAAAUAUACUUUACAACAAAAAUGUACUUUCAGUAUUAGUUAUCUAUUUACCGACCACUUUAUUCUUUAUCAGCGAAGGUAAUUUGUCUUUGAAAAAAUUAAUGAAUUUUUUAAUGCAUAUCGGACGGCUCUUCUUAGCCUUCGUAAAAUGCACUUAUUACCGAGGGUAAAUGAAGCCCUCGGAAAUAUCUGGACGGUAAUGCUAUUGUUUGUUGUAGUGCAAUGUGCAACACAUGGACGUUGUCAUUUACAUAACUAUUUCUGCAACAUAUGCAUUUGAAUGUUGUCAUCAUUAAUAACUAAAGACAAGGUGCAAAGUCUAGAUGGUGUUGUCUUCACAUCCUCUUAAACAGUAACAGCCAGCAAGGUUGUGAUAAAGCGUUGCACAGUGAUCACUUAACAACGUGCAACACAUGGACGUUGUCAAUAACAUAUCCAUUUCUGCAACAUAGGCAGUUGAAUGUUGUUAUCAUGAAUAACAAGUUUAGAUGUUGUCUUUACAUACUCUUCAACAGCAAAGCCAGCAAGGUUGUGGUAAAGCGUUACACCGUAGUCACUUAACAACGUACAACACAUGGACUUUGUCAAUAACAUAUCUGUUUUCAACUGAUUUUGGGGUAGGAAAAUCCAAACCAAUCUAGAACAAUAAAUUUAUAUUUUUGGGGGAGAUGGGGUACCUCACUAGUAUAUUGUGUGCGGUGCGAUGUAUCUGAAAUUCGGGGGAGGAGAGAAGGAGGGAGAGAGUGGUAGCUAUGGUGGAAGGUCAUAAACAAGAGAUGUGUCCUUCCAAAAUGAGCUUCACGCCUGCAAAACAGUGAAAUGGAGGUUAGAGGUGAAGCCGGGGUACCCCGGCGUUCACACUCCGACGCUCAAGUUAGCAAACUCAAGCUUUAAUGGUAAAGAGAGCUGGCUAGCCCUCUGUAAAUUAGGGUUUAAGGUUGAAGAAAACCUAUUUUUUGGAGUGUGAGUGUUUUUGGGCGAAUGAGAGCAUCAUGGAGAAUGAAACCUAGGCAUCUUUAUAUAUGAAGUACCUCAGCUGCCACGUAGCAUACCCUUUUUGGCUAACGUCCUUUUACCUUUUUAUGAUUUUUGGGCCGUUAUGUGCAUGUUCGCGGCGUAUCUCAUCCUUUGGAAACGUGGCGCGCGCUGGAGAGUAGUCCAAGGUACCUCUGCAGUAACUGUCGGGUAGGCGGCUGAGGACCACUGUCCUUGGGACAGUGUCCUUUACUUUUGGCAGAGGUAGCAGGCGGCUGUCCCCCCCUUUUGGUACGACGUUCUUGAUUCCUUAUUCUGACAAAAUCUAAUAAUAUCUUUUAAGAAGUGGAGACGUUUCUCAUGGCGGAUAUUUUCGGAGGAUUCUCUUGCAUCUGAUCUGCCGGGGUACCUCGAGUUACGUGGGGUACCUCAUAUUACACGGGGUACCCCUAUUUGUAUGGGAUACCUCUAUUUGUAUGGGGUACCUCUAUUUGUGUGGGAUACCCCUAUUUGUGUAGGGUACCUCUAUUUAUAUGGGGUACCUCAAGUCAUGCCGGGCACCUCGGAUUGUGCAGGGUACCUCCGAUUGUGCUGAAAUCAUUCCAUUGGUUGACACGUGGCGCUCUAUUGUCUUUCCUAUUUUUCCCUCAAACAAUAUCUAUUUCUGCAACAUAGCCAGUUGAAUGUUGUUAUCAUGAAUAACUAAAGACAGCGUGCAAAGUUUAGAUGGUGUUGUCUUUACGUAAUCUUAAACAGCAACAGCCAGCAAGGUUGUGGCUCCAACUACAACUUAGGUUUUUUUUUUUUUUGGGUAGUUUUUACCCCUCACAAUUAAUAGGUAAUGAGUUAAGGUACAUUUUUUAUUUUUUAAAUAAAUUAAAUAGUGAUACCAUGGUAACAAUAAUCAUAGACACUAAUAUAAUAUCAACAACUACUAACACUAUGGUGUCAUAUAUUGUUGAUACUGUAGUGAUAGUAAUCAUUGAGACCAUGUUCGUGACACCAUAAUUAAACAAGUAUUACUAUUUUUCUAAUUCUCAGAUUGUUGAUAUAAUUAAUAAGUUUCACUGAAAGUAAUUACCGAUACUAUUCUAAUGUCAAUAAAGACUAUUCUUUUGGUAGUGUGAGGUAUAUCAACUGAUGAUUAACCUCCAUCAUAAUUCUGCUCAACUCUAUUAAAUUUAGUUUCAACCUUAGUCAAAUAGCGUGAAUAAAACGUGAAACAUUCAUCUACCAAAUAAGCUUUUGCAAUGGACCCCUCUGGUCGAGAUUUAUUAUGUACAUUCUUUGUUCUGAUUGCGCCGACUGUGCUUUUUUAAUAAAAACUAAAGAUGAUCCAUACAGCCAAAAUUUGACCAUGUGAUAACCUAAAUAAACAAUUUUGAGAUGCAUAACAAGGAAAUGCUAAUUUCCCUUUUGUACACCAUCCUAACAAAUUACUACACGUGGGAAAGUCAUUUACACUCCAUAAGACUCUAACUCUCAUUUGAAAAUUUUGUUUUAUUGAAAUGCCAUAUGUAUAUGCACCGACUUCCCACAACUCUUUCAACUCAUCAAUCAAUGGUUGCAAGUAUAUGUCAAAAUCAUUGCUUGGACCUUUCGGUCCUAGUAUAAGCAAAGAUAUAAACAUGUUAGGCUCUUUCAUACACAUCCAAUCCAAAGUGGAAGAUUAUACGAAAAUAAUACCAUAGGCCAUACACUAUAACUAAGAUUAAUAUUUCUAAAAGGCCUAAACCUAUUUGUUGCUAACCCGAUUCGUACAUUUCUUGGAUCACUGGUAAGAGACUCGUGAAUAUUAUCAAAGGAUUACCAAGCCUCAGCAUCUGCAAGAUGUCUUAAGAUGCCAUCAUUACACGCUUUUCAAAAUGCUAUCAUUACAUGCUUUUCAAAAUGCCAUCUCUGACGAAAUGGAAAUAUUAUUGAGUUUGCUUGAUAAAAGAAACUAGAUUUCUGAAUAAUGAUAAAUCUUAUUGAAAGUCUGAAUAAAUAAAAUUAGGUUUUUGAAAGCCUUUUUAUAACAAGACUAAAUAUUGUAAAUUUAUCAAAAUAGGCAAACCUAAAAUAUAAUAUGAUAAUUAAAUUCUCCUAAUCAAACUAAGAAAAGAAAAAUAAAGGCACUCAAAUCUAAGUUCUAAAAAAAAGAUAAAAAUCCUAGAAGAACCAGGAAAAAUCUUAAAACUAGAAACGACCAAGAGAGAAGCAGAAUUUCCAGCUCCAAACUAUGAGGCCGAACAACUUUUGGGAUAUUGUUCAUUUUGUCGUAAGCUUCGAAAUGAUAUAUUAUAUACUAAAAACGGACACAUGUAGCCCAAGUUAUGGCCUUCGAAAGGUAUCCUACUCACGACAGACAACGCCCUACAUCAAUCUCAUAUCUGUUGCUAUCUUUCAAGACAUAAAUAACCUCUAAAGUCUAGGCUUCAGCGGAAAAUAACGUAUAACCUUCCAUGCAAUCUUUUUCCUCUCCCCAUUGUUGACCUUCCAUCUAGAAACCUCACAAGUGGGACAAUGGGUUGCAUUUGCUAGCUCCUUAUAAUAAAUCACACAAUCAUUCUUGCACGCAUCAAUUUUUCCAUAAUGGAGACCGAGAUCUUUCACAAAUUUCUUUGCCCAGUAGUUUGAUGUAGGUAACUUCUCACACAGAGGAAAUGCAUCAGUCAACAAUUCUAUAACAUAUCAAAAGACUUGUCGCUCCAAACAUUAAUACACUUGAUAUGCAUAAGCUUUACAAUAAAGACAAAUUAGAGAAAUUCUCGCAACCAGGAUAUAAUGGAUUUUUUGCCUCUUUUACCAAAUUAAAAAAUCUCUCUGCACCCGAAUUUGGAUCUUCUGUAAAAAUCUCUCUAAUUAAAUUUUGCAUAUCAUUGUAUUCCUAUGAACUUAUCACUUCUUCAUUAAUCUCAUAUUCAAUAUCAAAAUCCUUUUUCUCCCCAUGCAGACACCAAAUCGUACGGGUAGGCAUUAUGCCAUUCUCUAAAUGGAAUAUGGAUGCUUUGAAUUCAACCAAGUUAUCACUCACUUCCAUGUCGAUACAAACCCUUGAGUUGUUCUUCAUUCUCAUCACAAACUCAAAAAUCAUCCGCAUUUGAGGCAAAUUCUUUCAUCAUUUUAAUUUCUUGUAGUGUGUGCAUUUCUCUUUCUCUUUUUAAGCUAAUUAACAUGGGUGUCAUUCGCUUUGAGAAAGAGGCCUCAGCUGCUGUUGCUCCUUCAAGAUUGUUCAAGGCUUUAAUUUCGUUGACUCUCGCAAUCUUUUACCGUAGAUAGCGCCACAAGCAUUCAAGGGCAUUGAUAUUCUUUAAGGAGAUGGAGGUGCGGGCACUAUCAAACUAUGGAACUUUGCUGAUGGUAAAUCUUGUACGACGAUUCAAAUUGAUGGAGCAUUGUUAAUUUUCUAAAGUCCAAAAUUCCCUUUCGUACGAUAAUUCAAAUUAAUCGCAUCUGGCAUUAAUAAUAUUUCAUUGUCCGUCAACUUUUUAACUUCAUAAUUAGCGUGACAAUUCUUUUUUUUUCCCCCAAUGGUCAGAUUUCUAUUUCAAAAGUAUAUAUAUAUCAAAUUAUUUAACUUUGUAAUGUCGGAGUGGCUCAUGACAAUGAGAUGAUUAAUUUCGAGGGGGGGAAAAAAAAGGCUUGGUCAUUUUUCUAAUUAAACAUUACAUCGUGCAUGUUGUUCAUAAAGCGUAUCAUGCAUGUUGUCCAUAGAGCAUAACUUAGAUGAGCUAAUGAAGAUUCAAUGUAAUUCACAGGUGGUUAUUUCAAGCAUUCGGAGCAAAGAAUUGAUGCACUUGACAAGAACAAUUUUACAUGCAAGUAUACUGUCUAUGAAGGUGGUGGAGCAGCUGAAAUCUUUGAGAAAGCAGUGUACGAUGUUAAGUUCGAGGCUUCUGGCAACGGUGGAAGCAUUUGCAAGGUUGCUGCUGAGUGCCAUAUAAAGGGUGAUCAAGAGCUCAAAGAAGAGUGGAUGAAGGACGCCGAAGAGAAAGCAAUUGCAUUGUACAAGAUUGUGGAAGGAUAAGUUUUGGCUAGUCCUGAUAUCUAUGCCUAAAUUGCAUCAUGAUUGGCCUCUUUGAUUUCGAAUUUGUUUGCUAAUUGAAUAAAGGGUUGUCUCACUGUGAGCUUUGAUUUGUUGUUUCGGCUAGGGAUGGCAACUGGAUCGCUCUAUAAUGGAUAUCCAUAAUAUCCAUCUAAUUGGAUCGGAUAAUAUCCAUCCAAAAAUUUUUGGAUCUUGAAAUGGAUAAUUUAAAAUUAUAUCCAGAUGGAUAUGGAUAAUUAUUUUUACCCAAUGGAUAUCUGUUUAACCCAACACAAGUUUAAAAAAUUUUAAUUUUAUAAAAUAAAAAAUAAAAAAUAUAAUAAACAAACAAUUGUAAAAAUAUUAUAUUACCUAGUGAAAAAUUUAAAUUCCUCUUAUAUUAAAAACUAAAGUUUUCAAAAUUAUCCUUUAAUUUUUUAACUUAUUUAAUACUAUUAAUAAUUAUUAUUUUAUUUUAUUAAUUUAAUAUUAUAAAUGGACCUCCACCGGAAAGUCACCGGACCUCGCUGGACCACCAUCGGACAUCACCGGAAUGUCGCCAGAAGGUCGCCGGACCACCACCGGACCUCGCCGGACCGCCGUUGGACAUCGCCAAAUGUCACCGGAAUUACCGCCGGACCUCGCCGGAAGGUCGCCGGACCACCGUUGGCUUCCCCGAAAGGUCGCCGGACCUCCGCCGGAAAGUUGCCAGACCGCCAUUUUAUUAUAUAUAUAUUAUUACUAAUAUAAAUAGUUUAAUAGCUAAAUUUAAUAUUGGAAUUUUAACUAUUUUAUAUUAUUAUUUUUAUAUAAUAAAAAUAAAAUAUUCAUGGAUCUCCAUAGCUAUAUGGAUAAAAUCCAUAUCCAUGUCCAAUAUUAAAGACUUGUGUUGUGAGUUCAGAGCCAAGGGGAGGAUAGUGUAAUACUGGAUAUGGAUAUGGAUAUAUCCAUUAUGGAUAAUUAUGGAUUUGUAUUUGGAUGGAUAUUAUCCAUUUAUAAUUGGAUAUUUGCCAUCCCUAGUUUCGGCUCAUCUUUGGUUCUUCUAAUAAUUAUGUUUAGUUGAAGCUUCAAUGUACCUGCUUUGUCCAAUAAAUGUGUAUGUUCAAUAUAUAAAUGACCAUUAAUUUUAUUGGUUUUAAUAAAAGUGAAGAGUGAUAUGAAUGGUACAGGUUUCAACUUUCAAGAUCUAGGGUUUUAGUUUUACUUUUUGACGACGACGAUAAUGAUGAUGAUGAUAAUCAUCAUCAUAAUAUUCAGAACUUGAACUUAUGCCCUUGAUAUUAAAUCAUAUCAUUUUAUGUUAAUUUAGGGAGGACAAAAAGGGUAGAAACAUAAAAACUAAAUUUCAUAUUAAAUAAAAGAGUCACAACAUACUUUUGAGACUUGAAUCAAUUGUACGUAUCUUGGAAAUAUAUCAUUCUACGGUGGUUUAGUGGGGUAAAAAAAAGAAAUGAAUAUAUAUGAAUAAACGGCUUAAAAACAAAUCUCAAUUAAAAAAAAAAAUGUUUGGGAUGCAAAAUUGACUUGAAUUGGACCAAACUAUUAGUAUAAUUAUUCGCACAAAGAGCGGGACUAUUAACACCCCUAUAAUUUCCUUUUAAAAUUAAUUUUCUAUUGAGAACGAUUUUAGUUCCAAAAAUAUCCUUUUUUAGUUUUUUAGUUUCUUCCUUUCAACUCCAAAUCUUCAAAUAAGAUUUUCUUGUACUAAAUUUUGAAUGAUUAAAUCAUAUAUAUUUAACUUAAAAAAGAUGCAUCAGUACUUUGUUAAAGUGAUAAUGGCAUUAAAAAAUAAAAAAACACAUAUUUCAAUACAUUAACAAACAAAAAACAUAGUGUUUAAUAUAUAGAAAUCUAUAUUUUUUUUUUGUAUUUUAGUGAUGUCCUUAUUUUAUCAAGUGAGGAUAUCCUCACUAGAGAAAGACUGCAUAUCUCUAUUGUGGGUGCCUUCAUUUUUUUUUUUCAUACAGACACACUUUUAAGCUAUGCGGUUUAAUAGAGUCAGGUUUUAAUACUUUCAAACUGUAUGGCUUUAUAGUGUAUUAAAAUACAACUUUAUUAAACCGCUCAGCUUAACAGCUCCUCUGCAUUAAAAAAAAAAUGAGGGCGCUCGCAUAUAAAAUGAUUAUAUAAAUCAAGUGGACUCAAAUAGUUAAUCAGUAACUUUUUUUUUUUUUUUUUUUUUUUGAAAAAAGAAGUUGAUAUGCAAGAAAAUGAUUAAAAAAAAUUAUUCUUUAAAGUUUUAUACAAAGAAUUGAAAAUAGUUGAGGAGACGGCUAAGAGUAAGAAUAUAUUAAUAGAAUCACAUUGAUUAGAAUGCCAAGUGUUUGUGAGAGAAAAUAUAGAAAAUUAAUUAGAUUUAUUUUUUUCCUUUAGGACUCAUUUGAUAUGCCGGAUUGAUUGGAUUGAACUGAAUAAGAUAGGAUUGGAUCAGAUAACACUGAAUUAUAUAUAAUAUUGUGUUGUGCUUGGUGCAAUAUUUGAUUGGACUAUAAAUAAUCAUGUCUUGUGUUUGAUAUGCUAUGGGAUUGGCUAGUAACUAAUCAUGUCUUGUAUAUUAAUUUAUCAAAAUUAUCUUAAAUUUAUUCUAAAAUGGAAAUUAUUGAUUUAAGCUAGAUUAUAUUUUUUUUUGUAUUUUACAUGUUAUAGUUUUUAAACUUAUAUUUUACAAAAUAAUAUCAUCAAAAACAUAACAAGGAUAUCAUCAUCAAAUAUAAUAAGAAUAUCAGUCCACAACUUUAAAAAAAAAAAAAUGGGAUUUUUUUUCUUAUCCUGUGAAUUGUGAUAGGUUAAAUUUAGCUUACCUAUUAUUAUCUCACACCCCCUUUUAUAAUAAAAUUUUGAUACUGUGUUGGAUUAAAUGGUGAGCUCCACUAAUUUUAUCCUACAAUUAUUUUUGUAUACCAAACACUGCAUUAAGAUAAUUUUAGGAUAAAAUUAUCCAAUCCCAUCAUUUUAUACCCCAGUGAAACCAGCCCUUAAAGAACAAUAUGUCAAUAUUAGGGAUGGCAAUGGGCACCGCCCGCAGCGGGUUUGCCAUUACCAAACCCAAACCCGCAUAAAAUUUAAAUUACCAAACCCACCCGCAACCCGCAGCGGGUUUUAAUUUUUUUUAAAAAACCCACCCGCAGCGGGUUUUAACAAUUACCAAACCCGCAAUGGUAUCCGGCGGAUUUUUUGCGGGUUUCCGUAUUUAAAAUCACAAAUGUUUAAUAUAUAAAUUUAUAAUAAUAACCUCAAAUUUCAUAUAACAUAUUCAAUUUUAUAUUUAAACAAUGUAAAUGAAAAAUUAAAAUUUCCACAUCAAUUCAACACAAAUUCUCAAAUUUAAGUAUAAAUUACACAAAUUUAUUUAAAAAACACAAACUAAUAUCUAAAAAUAAUAAUUAUAUUUCAUAUUAUCAUUUAAAACAAGAUUCAAGAGAAUAUAUUCAUUUCAUUCACCGCCAUAAGCACCCAUCCAACACAAUGCCUAUAAUAAUAAUUAAGAUUAAUAUUUUCAAAUACUAAUUUGAAGGGAAAUGCCUUUAGUUUCCUUUAGGUUAUGACUUUAGAAUAGGAAAUGAGUCAUAUACACACAUACACAACUUUGAACCUUUGGCUAUUUGGUAAUUUGAUUAAUUACAUUAUUUUCUUUAUAUAUUUUUAUAUUUAAAUUAAAUUAAAAAUAUUUGAAAAAAAUUAUUGCGGGUUUGGUGGAUAUCCAUGCGGGUAUCCACCGGGUAUAAGGCUAAUACCAAACCCACCCGCAUCCAUGUGCGGGUUUUAAUCUAUAAUACUAAACCCGCCCGCAAUGGAUAAAAUUACCCGCAACGGGCGGGUUUUGGCGGGUGGGUUUGGGCGGGUUUAUGGGUUUGCGGGUACAAUUAUCAUCCCUAGUCAAUAUUUGCAUUGCAAUGAAAGUAAAAUCAUGAAAGUUGACCUAUAUGCAAAUGAGCAUAAAUAUUGGACUUCGAGGUUUAAAGUUUUAGCCCAAGAAUCCAAAAAGAGAAAGAACCCAAACUUUGUGGCCCGAGUUUAAAAUAAUUUCAGAGUCCAGCGUCUAAAAGAUAAAAUCUGAAAUUGAUAAUCUAGAAGCAGAACAUAUUCAUUGCAAAAAUUAAUGCGUAUGCUGCGGUACUUUUAAUUUUUUUUUUUCAAAUUCUUUCAUUUUAAUAAAAUAAGUAUGAAGUAUCAAGCCAAAAGACGAUAAUGCAAGCAAUACGGUCUAAUGCAAGCCGCGAAAUGGACCAAAGGAAUGGGGAGUUAUUUUACUUGAAAAAAAAAAUCACCUAAAUGUUAUGCAGCCCAACAACAGAGGCCGAAAUCACAGACCCUAAGCCAUUCUUUCAUUUUAGGUCAGAGUUGUUAUGUUCAAGCCCAACUCUAAAAACGCAGCAAUGGGGACAGUUGCGACGAAAGAAGGGUCUAUAAUGACCCACAAAAUAAAGAGUAAUGAUAUUUGAACCCGCUGCUUGUAUCAUUGGCUCCCUUUUCUCAUUAAUUCCUUUUAUUUUCCAAAUUACCUUAAUGCACAAACCCAAUCAUCUCAGAUAAUAAAAUGUGGCAAUGGAUUAACUCAUGAUAACUUCAAUUUUGAGCAUCUUCGAAAUAGCAAAAUAGCCUUUGAUCAAGAACCUACUGACCAUGAGAAAUCUUAAGGGAGAAGGAGGAUCGAUAAGCCAGCACUGCAAUGGAUUGCUUCUAUUUCCAGAUGCAGAUGAUCUCUUAAAUUUGUAUAGUCCAGGAUUACUUAAAUGUCAAAAGCAUGCAGAUGGAAGUUACUGCCCGCGGGAACACACAAAAAGUGACCGAAGGGCAGUAACACACUUAAAGAAAGACACUGAGAGAUUUCGUAUCCGUAAUAGUGCGAAAGGAAGGCCCGACUCCAACUCCAAGUUGUUCAAGAAUAGUGGCGUUGAGUUUCUCGACCCUUCUUUAAGAUGCUUUCGCAUCAAAAUCUAUCAUUGGAAGAAGCAAAUGCGAUUUCACGGGUUGUCCCUAGGAGCAAACAUCCAAUCAAUCAAUAUGCCGUGCAUAUAAGGAUACUCAAGUCCACUCUCACCCCGUAUAGACUUCCUAACUUGCCCGAGAAUACCUAGGGGCGCGAGACAACUCUCUCUAAGGAACUCGGCAAAAUAGAUUUUGACUAUUUUGAUUAUCCAAUUGAUCUAACUUGGCAAAAUAACUAUUUUCUAUUGUUUCUCGAUAUUCCAUCUCUCAAUCAAUAUGAUUUUCAAUUUCUGAAAAUUGAGCAAAAAAAAUGAAUUGCAAUUUAUUUAAUUGAAAUUUACCAGUGAGAAGAAGCCCACGGCUCCUACACACAGGAAAUCCAAGCAAUCCAAUAUCUUCUCAUAUCCUCUCUAGUCUCUACAUUAUGAUUGUCAACUUAAUUAAUUAUUCCUAUUACUUUCUUUUACAAAUUUUAUGAUCUUGGAGACACUGACAGCUCUGCUAGGGAAGAGCGGUUCAUGCCCAUAUGAAUGUCAAUUGGUCGGGUCAGGGCCAAGCCCGAGCCCGAUCCGAUUACUAAAAUUGAGGGCCUGAUUCGAAAAAAAACUUGAUUAUUUAUAUCUCAGGUUGGGUUGGGCCCGAUCCAAUUCGGGUUAGGGUUGGGUCGGAUUUUUUUAAAGUCCGCACAAUGCUUCACCUUAAAUAUUUUGUUUUUUUUUUGUCCGAUUUUACUUUGCUUUGUUUGUCCAUGAUGUAAAACAAAAUUGCUUUAUUCUAAAAUCAUUGUGUGUCCAUAAUUUUCAUAAAAAAAAAUAUAUCUUAUACAAAUAGAAACACAAUAAAUUUUCUUAUUUGCAUUGCACCUAAAAUUAUUCUUUUAUAUUUCCGUGCAUGUAUAUAUAUCCUCCAUAAAAUUAAAAAUUCAUAAUUUUUUAUAUUUUUUUUAAUUUAGGGUCGGAUUGGCUAAGGCCCGACCCUGACCUAAAUUUUGAUCGAACCUUAAUUUUUGGGCCUGAGCCUGACCUAAAACUUGAAAAUUCGAGUCAAAACCCAAAAAAUAUUAGUCGGGUCAAUCGGAUCAAAAUUCGAACUGGCUCAAAUUAACAUCCUAUUAAAAAGUGAGGGUUAGUGAGAUAAAUAGAGAGGUUCAAAUAUCAUUACUCUAAAAUAAAUAUAAUUUAUUUUGUCAUUUAUCCGUUGAAAGUCACUGGAAAAAUUGAAAAAGUUAUUCCUGAAUGUUGGAUAUAUGAUAUAUCCGGAUCGAAAAGGCACGUAACAAAGCUUGUGUCCUUGAAAUUGGUACCUACACCUAAAAAAAGAAAAGAAAUAAAAUAUUAUAUAAAGUGUAAUAGUUGGAGGCCAACUAUUGGCCUAUUAAGAUUAAAGAAUCCUCAUGUUAGAUUUUUUUGAAUUAUUUUAUUUAGGUCGGUGAUGCCAAAUUCGCUAUUGGCUGUCUUGGAUUUCCCUCACCUCCAGUUCUUCUAUAUAAACCCUUGACUAGUUCUUCAUCUUCAUCACAAACUCAAAAACUCAUAUUGAGCAUCUCUCUUUUCUUUAAUUAAGCAAUAGAUAUUCAACAUGGGUGUCAUUCGCGUUGAGAAAGAGGUGCCAUCGGCUGUUGCACCAUCAAGAUUGUUCAAGGCUUUAAAUGACACUCACAAUUUUUUGCCAAAGAUCGCGCCUGAAACAAUUAAGAGCAUCGAUAUUCUUCAAGGAGAUGGAGGUGCUGGCACUAUCAAGCUGUUGAACUUUGCUGAUGGUAAGUAGAUAGUAUACAUAGCUUUAUUAAUUGCUACAUGCAUCAUACAUGUUUUAUUUAAUUUUCAAAUCCAAAAUAUCACAAAAUUAAUUAUAAAUGUAACUAAGAAAAGGCAAUUAAAAAAGAUUGAACUAAUAUUGCGAUUAACAGGUGGUAAUUACAAGCAGACGAAGCAAAGAAUUGAUGCACUUGACGAGGACAAUUUUACAAUGAAGUACACUACGUAUGAAGGAGAUGGGAUUUUGAAAAUGACGGACAAAAGCGUGUACGAUGUUAAGAUCAUGGAUUCUGGCAAUGGAGGAAGCAUCUGCAAGUUUGUUGCGGAGGUCCAUGCAAAUGACGAUAAACUGGUCAACGAAGGGCACGCAAAGGAAUCCGAAGAAAAAGGAUCGGAAUUGUUCAAGCUCGUGGAAGCCUAUCUCUUGGGUAACCCUAAUCUCUAUGCUUAAAUUAAUCAUCCAUAUGCAUUGGCUUUGCCAAUUACGAAAUUUCCAGCUAGCUAACUAAAUAAGGCUGGUGCCAUUGUACGUAAUUAAGCUUUUGAAGCUGAAUGUAAAUACACGCGUAUGUACUUAGUGUGUUCGUUAAAUAAAUGUCCAAUCUGCUGGACAUAUGUGAGAUAAAUAUAGAUCAUGUGUGGUCAGUUAUGCAUACAUGUUUGCAGUUUCAAUUUCUAAACUUUACUGUUUCUACCUAUUUAUUGAAGCAUAUAUAUAUACUAUAUCUACUGGGGAUCUGUGAGGUUGGUUAUAGUAAGGCCUGGCCGGAAAGUGUUCUUGCCUCUAUCAUUAGCACGGUAGUCCCCCAAUAUGCCCGUUCGCUUCAAUAAGCUUAAUAAGUCUAAAUCCAUACAAUUAAUAAUAUAUUAUAGCACAGCGUGGGGGUGGGGCUGUACCAAGUAUAAAUAAAUCGGUAAUAUGUUCCAACAAGGAUUUAAUGAUUUGAAGAUGUUCAUUCACGCACGCUUGUUGCAUCUUUCUUCGCCAAGGUGACGCCAGCUCUCUCUCUUUAUUUUGAAAAGAAAGUAAAUCUUUCAUUAUCAAGGCGCAAAACAGUCACUAAUACAGUGUCAUAAGAAGGGGAGAUAUAAUGUCAGAACAGGCUCAAAAUAUAAUACUUAUGAGGACCUAAAAUUUGACCAUGCUCAUUGUAAAUUGUUCCUUUAUACUCCAAAGGAAAAGCAGUUUACCACAUAAAGUCUCAUAAGGUAUUGGAGAAACUUUUAGGGGUUUGGCUAUCCAACUUAGAUUCAUAAAGUGAACCGCAAUCAAAACGGACCUUAAAAAAAGAAGCACAACAACAGAACGUUACAACCCACAAAGUUAUUGGAUUUGAGCUGCACCAAAAGACAUUAUUAUAACAACAAAAAACUUAAAAAGAAAAAAAAAAAAACAAGACCGACGUUUAUUAUGAAGACAAGGUACACUGCAUGCAAUGAGCUAAGAUAGACUUGGAAGCAUUGAUAUAUACCGUAGGAUUAUCAAUUUAGUCAACUUAGCUGCUUUGUUCACCAUAAUUUGAGCUUCAAUAUAAGACUCGUUGUAUUUUAUAAAGCGUACUUUUUUAAUAUUUUAAUAUUAAAAUUUCUCAUAUUGUUGAGUAACACUCGAUUUGUAAAUAAACAAGAAGGUUAUAUAUAUGGUUUGAUAAAAUUAAGAAAAAAAAACCACUUGCACAUCUCUCAGAAGCCCUAGCCGUUUCAACGAACGAAGCCAAACACCAAAAAAAUAUCAUCACACCAUCUUCAUCUUCUUCCAACUACACCAAUAAGAAGGAACAACAUCCCCUAGUCAUUUUAGCUCUCAUCUCAAAUCAGGAAUUCUCAGUAUCUUCCAUCUGACAAGUUAAUUAUCAAAGGGAAUAAAUAUUGAUUUGGGACAGCCACCAAAGGGAAUCAAUACUAAUGAGAAUCUUAUAUGAUUUAGGAUGGUUGUUUGGAAUGAAUAGGUACAUUCCGGAUGUCAUAACUUAGACAACAAGUAUCUGUUUAGGGUGUAUAAUAUAUUGUUUCGAAGCUUGCGAUGAGAUGAACCAAUUUCAAAAUUGCUUGCACUGUUCUGCCCCAUAGUCCAACUGGAAAUUCUAUUUUUUUCCUAGUCAUUUUUUACUUCUAAGUUAUUUUCCUAUUUUUCUUGGUUCUUUUAAAAAUUUUAUCUUUUUUUUUCUAGAUAUCAAAUUCUGGUGCCGUUUGUUUUGCUUUUAUUAGUUCAAUUAGGAGAAUUUUAUUACGAAAUAAAAUUUCAAAUUUGCUAAUUUUGGUAAAUGUUAUUAUAAAAGAGGCCUAAAAUCCUACUUUUUUCAUUCAGAUUUACUAUCAAUCAACCUUUUAAUGUUUUGGCAUCGUCAUUAUAUCAUUUCCACUCAUGUAGGAUUAACAAGGAAGACGAUGGGGUUCCCUUUGGUGCAUGGCUGUCCCGAACAGAAGCCACAAAAACAAUGAUCAAUGUUGUUUUCUUGUGAUAUAAAAGUCAUGAAGCCAUAUAAAGUAGUUUCUAGGUUAUGUUACCCACCGCCAUGUGCAAUCUUUAUUUUUCUUUAUUAUUUGUGAUCGGAUAAAGAAGCAUGUAGCUAGAAAAUAUUAAAAGACAACAAUAUGACCAAUGUGUAACCUUUAUCACAACCUUGUUGGCUGUUGCGGUUUAAGAGUAUGUAAAGACAACAACAUUUACACUUUGCACGUUGUCUUUUUGUUUCCUCACCGCCAUGUGCGAUCUUUAUUUUUCUUAAUUAUUUGCGAUCUGAUGAAGAAGCAAGUAGCUAGAAAAUAUUAACAGCCAACAAGUGACCACUGUGUAACGCUUUACCACAACCUUGCUGGCUGUUGCUGUUUAAGAUUACGUAAAGACAACACCAUCUAAACUUUGCACGCUGUCUUUAGUUAUUCAUGAUAACAACAUUCCACUGCCUAUGUUGCAGAAAUAGAUAUGUUAUUGACAAAGUCCAUGUGUUGCACGUUGUUAAGUGACUACUGUGUAACACUUUACCACAACCUUGCUGGCUUUGCUGUUGAAGAGUAUGUAAAGACAACAUCUAAAAUUGUUACUGACAAAGUCCAUGUGUUGCACGUUGUUAAGUGACUACUGUGUAACACUUUACCACAACCUUGCUGGCUUUGCUGUUGAAGAGUAUGUAAAGACAACAUCUAAACUUGUUAUUCAUGAUAACAACAUUCAACUGCCUAUGUUGCUGAAGUAGAUAUGUUACUGACAAAGUCCAUGUGUUGCACGUUGUUAAGUGACUACUGUGUAACGCUUUACCACAACCUUGCUGGCUUUGCUGUUGAAGAGUAUGUAAAGACAACAUCUAAACUUGUUAUUCAUGAUAACAACAUUCAACUGCCUAUGUUGCUGAAGUAGAUAUGUUACUGACAAAGUCCAUGUGUUGCACGUUGUUAAGUGACUACUGUGUAACGCUUUACCACAACCUUGCUGGCUUUGCUGUUGAAGAGUAUGUAAAGACAACAUCUAAACUUGUUAUUCAUGAUAACAACAUUCCACUGCCUAUGUUGCAGAAAUAGAUAUGUUAGUGACAAAGUCCAUGUGUUGCACGUUGUUAAGUGACUACUGUGUAACGCUUUACCACAACCUUGCUGGCUUUGCUGUUGAAGAGUAUGUAAAGACAACAUCUAAACUUGUUAUUCAUGAUAACAACAUUCAACUGCCUAUGUUGCUGAAGUAGAUAUGUUACUGACAAAGUCCAUGUGUUGCACGUUGUUAAGUGACUACUGUGUAACGCUUUACCACAACCUUGCUGGCUUUGCUGUUGAAGAGUAUGUAAAGACAACAUCUAAACUUGUUAUUCAUGAUAACAACAUUCAACUGCCUAUGUUGCAGAAGUAGAUAUGUUACUGACAACGUCCAUGUGUUGCACGUUGUUAAGUGAUCACUGUGCAACGCUUUAUCACAACCUUGCUGGCUGUUACUGUUUAAGAGGAUGUGAAGACAACACCAUCUAGACUUUGCACCUUGUCUUUAGUUAUUAAUGAUGACAACAUUCAAAUGCAUAUGUUGCAGAAAUAGUUAUGUAAAUGACAACGUCCAUGUGUUGCACAUUGCACUACAACAAACAAUAGCAUUAUCGUCCAGAUAUUUCCGAGGGCUUCAUUUACCCUCGGUAAUAAGUGCAUUUUACGAAGGCUAAGAAGAGCCGUCCGAUAUGCAUUAAAAAAUUCAUUAAUUUUUUCAAAGACAAAUUACCUUCGCUGAUAAAGAAUAAAGUGGUCGGUAAAUAGAUAACUAAUACUGAAAGUACAUUUUUGUUGUAAAGUAUAUUUUUGUUGUAAAGUUCAAAACAAGAUAAAGGCCUUUAGUGCAUGGGCUUUGCCUAAUUAAAAGUGAGAACAUAAUUUUAGUGACUAAUUAAAUUCUAAAUUGAACUUUUAAUAGGGUCUUGCUUUUGCUAGCUUAAAAAAUUAGAUAAAAACACAUAUAUUUCCACCAAUUAAAAAUAACUCAUUUAUGUCGAAGCUCGAUCUCUCUAGGAUGAACCAUUUCGGAAACAUUGAUGAAAAGGAAAAAAAAAUAUUAAUUUACUAUAUUCUAAGAUAAUCUUUUUUCAUAUCUUAUAUUUUCUUUUCGUUUUUCCUUCUUUCAAAAGUAAUUCCUUUAAAUUAAAGCCAUAUUUUAGCUAAAAGAUACAGAUAUUCAUUCCAAAAUUUUAAAAGCACAAUAAACUGACAAGCAAGAAUCUAGUCUAACCACGUCAUUGAUGGAUAAAUUCUACUUAAUUUAGACCUUAAGAGUGUGGGACAUGCCGAAUUUUAAACUUCAGCCGUAGAUCAGCUAUCUGUACCAAGCGCUAGUAUUGGCCGCCUCACACUCAUGCGCCCACUUGAUCUAUAUAUAUCAAACCAGAAAUAAGAACUCGCUCAAGCUUGCUCGAGCUCAACUACUCACUUUUGAUUACAGUUCUCCAGAAGCAAGCAGAGAUCGUUUCUGAUUUGACGAAUAUGGAAACUCCUUGCACAGGUUUAUUUUUCGGCCACGUUAAGUUGAAUAUCAUUUAUAAUUCUUAUUUUAUAAUACAUCCAUUUGUGAAUAAUUUUUCUGUUAUGAAAUUUUCAGGUAAGAAUGAAUGGUCGGAGUGUUUAGUACUUUUUAUAAUAUUUAGUAUUGCUGAUGACGAGAAAAUGAACGACAAUAAUCUUGAUCUUCUUGUUGUUCCUCAAUACGGGAGAUAUCCCGACUAUGCUGGUUAAGUGUUGUAGUGUUACACUUUCGUGUUAUGUGUAAUUAAAUAAAAGCAUGGAUAAUGUUAUUUAUUAUCUGUCAAUAAUGGGAACAUCAGUUUGCACCCUUGUACUUCGUUGUCCUUAAUUAAUAAAUAAAACUAUUGUAUUUCUAUGAGUUGAUUAAGUUAUUCCGUCUAUAGAUAUAAUAUUUUAUAUACAUACAUACAUACAUACAUACAUACAUAUAUAUAUAUAUAUAUAUAUGUAUAUGUAUAUUUGAUUAAUUAUGCUCUCUUCCUUCUUGAAUGUUUUUGUUAAUCAAACUCUACAAUAUUAGUUAGCUAAUUCUCGCAGCUCCUAAGGGAACCAAGAUCAUUAUAAUUAGUUAAGAAUAUUAUUUGUGUUUGCUAAUUAAAUGGCGUAUAUCAUCAUGAUAAUAAAAUUAAGGGUUCCAUUACUUUAAUAUGAUAAGAAACAAGUUAAAAGACAAGUAAAACACAUAUUUUAUGCACUUAUUAUCAUGCUACGAGGAAUUUUAAAUUGAAUAAAUAAAUAUCUGCAAAAUAUGAUUCAACUCAUUAACAUUAAUUUAAUUUUGCCGCCACUGUCACUAAAUCUAACAUCAAGCCCUCACCCAUUGCCAUAGCAUGCAAAAUCAGUGGCUAAAAAUUGAUUAUGAAUUUUUUUUUAAAAAAAAACAUUUUCAAAAUCCGAAAACCUACGACCUAAUGACUACGGAGAUGAAGAAUAAUAGAAUAGUAGAAUGCAUAUGAUGCAAAAAUACUUACGGUAGACAUACUUUUUUUUUUCCUCCAACCAACCACCAUAAAUAUACUUUUUUCGAGCAAAAUUAGUCAUGGAAAAAUUAUUAAUGCAUAUUAGAAAUAAUAUAGACACACAACUAAUGAAUAAUUUUUAUGAUCACUUUGAGCCAUUAAAAGUACUAUUUUCAAUUGGCUUUAGCGAUAGCUUUUGUAAUAGCAAUUUCAAUUAAAUAUGUUGAAAAUACAUUAAUUGUGAGGGGUAAAAACUGCCCCAAAAAAAAAAAACCUAAGUUGUAGUUGGAACAUAUAUUAUUCUAAUUGAUUUUGUAAUCGAAAAUACUACAUAUUAGUUGAAAUAAGUAAUAUUUGUAAUUGAAUUGUUCUGUUAUAAAUAAUGCAUUCAUAGUCAGAAAAGUAUUAUUUUUGAUGAUUUAUCUUUGUUGGAAAUUCUCUGCUUUUAAUGGGAUAAAUAAUUGAAAAUAAUCUACGCGGUUGCAAUUUAUUUUAUUAAUUACCACUGGCAAUUGGAACAACAAUUAUUUCAACUGUCUAAUACAAUUUUUAAGAACAUAUGAUUGUUGAAAAUAGAUUUAGGUAGUUUUUUUUUAUAAAGAUUUAGGUAGUUAUUAUAAAAUGAAUGAGUUUUCCUAAACAAUUCAAUCGAAAUUGUCACCAUUCAUAUUGUCCAAAAACAUUUCAUAAUAAAAAAUAAAUCAUUAUUAUAUUAUUUCAAAUGAGAUAAAUAAUAUAAAUAUCAAGCAUCAUCAAAGCCAUCUGAAUUAGCAUCACUAUCGUCUUUUAAAUCACCGUAACAUCAUCAUGUAAAUUAUCAUCAUCCUAUGAAUUAGCGCCACCAUUGUCAUCUGAAUCAAUACCACCACAUCAUUAGAAUUUCCACCACCGCUACUUUCAGAACUUGCACUACCAUCGGCAUUUGCAUUCAAUUUUUCAAUUGGAUUCUAUAAAGAAAAAUUAAAUGAUCGAGUAUUUAAAAUAAUUAAUUGACAACGAAUUAUAUAAAUUAAAAAAAUUGAGAUUGAAAAGAACAUUAUAUUAUUGAAGAAUGAAGAUGAAGCCACAAUAGGUUGAGAAUGAGAUUUUUUUGCUUCUAAAUCUUCCACUUUUUUCUGUACAAUAGUCAGUUGCUCUUGCGCCACUUGCAAAGUACUCAACAAAAACUCCUCAUGUUAUAUACAUUUCUUUUUGUUGCAAGGUCAGCUUGAAGUGGAUCCAUAUACAUCCUUCAUUUUGAGGCCUCUAAGAGUGUGACCAUGCUUAACACCUCUUGUGGCAUCAAGAUAUAUAUCUCGUUGUUUUCUUAAUGGAUCUUCAUCAAAUGACUCAUGUAAUUCAUUCCUCUUUGAUAUCAUAUGUGCCUCAUCAAAAUAUGAACAUAAUAAUUAAAUAACAUAUCCAAUAAUGAUAUUAAUACACACUUUUGAAAUAAAAAAAAAAAAUUAACAUAUGCAGUUCCUUAGCUUAUCACUAGGCCAAGUUCCAUCCUUUCGCACAGGGAACUUCUCAGAAAAUCUACUGGACUAGGAUUAUUCCCAUUUUGCUCAGCAUAUCAACAUAAUAACACUAAUAAUAAUAAUGUUACAUAAUUAAAUAAUUUCUAUAAUAAAAUUGAAAUAUUAAGAAUCAAAAUAAUUUUUUUAUAGUAGCAAAGUAAAUCAUUUAAAAAAAAUUCUAUGAAAAAAUACAAAUAUAAUAAAACUAGAAAAUAGAACCGCGCUUCACGCGGCUUUGAAAAAAAAACUAUUAUUAUCAUUUUUCUUACUUUACACUUGAUGAAACUGAUAAAAAAUAUGAAUUGAUUUUUUUUAAAGAUGAGGCAGCCUUAUAAAAAAACAAAAAAAGCUAUUAGCUAGCAAUACAAAUAAAGAAGCAACGCAAGAUAAAGAAUAAAAUGAGAGAAUAUAUUAUAGAGUGAUUUUAUUCAUUCCAAUUGUGUGUGUACAAAACAAAAAGAUGAGCUCUCCUUUUAUAGUUACAUAAUCACUCCAUGAAAUUAAUGAAAAAUUAUGGAUCAUAAUUCCUUGUGAGAUAGUGGGAGUUAUAGGGAAGCUAAAGGUUGCUAAUGGGAGAUAGUGGGGAGACUAAGAGAUAUAUGUUAUGAACAUCUACAUUUAUUUUAAUAAAUUCAUAACACUCCCCCUUGGAUGUUCAUUACUAAGAAUAUGCCUCAUUAAAACCUUUACAUGAUUGUUAUUGUAUAAUAACAAUCAAAUUAAUUAUGAGAAGAUGAAAAGUCAAAUCUAAAAAAAAAAAUUUCUCUAUGUAUUAGAUAAUAGAGAAUAUACAAAGAUGAGAAAUGGUGAUGCCACAUCACUUCCUCAAGUCCCAGCUUUAUAUAUAUACUAGAAAAUAGAACCGCGCUUCACGCGGCUUUGAAAAAAAAAAUUAGUAAUAUCAUUUUUUCUUACUUUACACUUGAUGAAACUGAUAUGAAUAUGAAUUGAUUUUUUUUUAAGAUGAGGCAGCCUUAUAAAAAAUAAAAAAAGCUAUUAGCCAGCAAUACAAAUAAAGAAGUAACGCAAGAUAAAGAAUAAAAUGAGAGAAUAUAUUAUAGAGUGAUUUUAUUCAUUCCAAUUGUGUGGGUACAAAACAAAAAGAUGAGCUCUCCUCUUAUAGUUACAUAAUAACUCCAUGAAAUUAAUGAAAAAUUAUGGAUCAUAAUUCCUUGUGAGAUAGUGGGAGUUAUAAGGAAACUAAAGGUUGUUAAUGGGAGAUAGUGGGGAGACUAAGAUAUAUAUGUUAUGAACAUCUACAUUUAUUUUAAUAAAUUCAUAACACUCCCCCUUGGAUGUUCAUUACAAAGAAUAUGCCUUAUUAAAAUCUUUACAUAAUUGUUAUUGUGUAAUAACAAUCAAAUUAAUUAUGAGAAGAUGAAAAGCCAAAUCUAAAAGAAAAUUUCUCUAUUUAUUAGAUAAUAAAGAAUAUAAAAAGAUUAGAAAUGGUGAUGUCACAUCACCUUCUCAAGUCCCAACUUUAUAUAUAUACUAGAAAAUAGAACCGCGUUUCACGCGGCUUUGAAAAAAGAAUUUAGUAUUAUCUUUUUUUUUUUACUUUACACUUGAUAAAACUGAUAAAAAAUAUGAAUUGAUUUUUUUUAAGAUGAGGCAGCCUUAUAAAAAAUAAAAAAAGCUAUUAGCCAGCAAUACAAAUAAAGAAGCAACGCAAGAUAAAUAAUAAAAUGAGAGAAUAUAUUACAGAGUGAUUUUAUUCAUUCCAAUUUUGGUGUACAAAACAAAAAGAUGAGCUCUCAUUUUAUAGUUACAUAAUCACUCCAUGAAAUUAAUGAAAAAUUAUGGAUCAUAAUUCAUUGUGAGAUAGUGGGAAUUAUAGGGAAGCUAAAGGUUGCUAAUGGGAGAUAGUGGGGAGACUAAGAGAUAUAUGUUAUGAACAUCUACAUUUAUUUUAAUAAAUUCAUAACACUCCCCCUUGGAUGUUCAUUACAAAGAAUAUGCCUCAUUAAAAUCUUUACAUAAUUGUUAUUGUGUAAUAACAAUCAAAUUAAUUAUGAGAAGAUGAAAAAUCAAAUCUAAAAGAAAAUUUCUUUAUUUAUUAGACAUUAGAGAAUAUACAAAGAUAAGAAAUGGUGAUGCCACAUCACCUCCUCAAGUCCCAGCUUUAUAUAUAUAUAGAUAUAAAUAUAGAUUUAUGACAAAUAUGAUCAUUUAAUAGCUCCUUUUUCUUCUUCAAUAUUUUAACUUAUCCAGUUGUAAGCACUACUUCAGAUGAUUUGUUACAAUUGGAUGCACUUAUUCUACUCGAUAUCUACAUAAAAAGAAAAAAAAAAUAAUUCAUUACAUCCAAUAUAGUAAACCAAAAUUAUUUAACUAAGUUGAAAUUAAAAUUAUUGCAUAAGAUUUAAAUAAACUCAAUCAUUACAUUCACAUGCGCUAAAUAUAACCUACUCAACAUGGUCAGAUUAAUUUCAAGCUUAGCAUAUAGAUUCAUAUAUAACAUAACUAUGAAUGAAAAAAAUACUUCUUUAUGAUCAAAUUAUUAAAUUUACCAUAUAUAAAUAGAGAAUCAAUGGGAAAGAUAAGCACUUAAAUUUUAUUAGCAAAAGUUAACCAACAGAAAAGGAAUUAUUAUCAGAUUCUAAUAAUCAAUAUAAAAGAUUUCCAAAUAAAAAAGAAAUAACAGAUCAAUACAAUUGCUAAAUAUAAAAAUGCCUAAAUAGAACUAGAAAUAAUUUUUUUUUUGAGUCAUUAAGCAUCAAAAUGAAAAAGAUUAAACAAAUACAAAAUAGUCCAAUGAUUAGUCACUAUAAAAACAAAUGGGUCAGGUUUGAAUGAUAUCCUUUUCAACCUUACGGCCAGCCUGUAAAAAUUCACCCAGCCCCCUAUACUCUAUGUUAUUUAUAAUUUAUUUGUAAGUAUUAUAAAACUUUCUGAAUUUUAAAAUUUCGUUUGGCUUCUUACACUCAAUUUUAUUUUAUUGAAAACUUAGAGUACGAAUUCGCCCCCUAUAAUUUUAAAUUUCCAAAAUAACCUCCAUUUAAUUAAAAACAUAAUUAUUAUCAAAUGAAUUAUAAUUAUAACUAUUAUUCUAUUAUAAUCAUAAAUAUAAUUAUAUUUUUUAAAUAUAUUAUUAUUGUUAUUAUUAAUAACAAGAAUAAUAAUAAUAAUUAUUAUUAUUAACAAUUAAAUUUUUGAAUAAUAAUAAUAACAAUAACAAUAAAAAUAAUUAAAAUAUAAAAUAAUUAUUAUGAUAAAAAUUAAUGAAUGAUUUUAUAGCAAUUGGUUAUAAUUUAACUCAUUCUGAUUUUGAUUCUAAGAUAAAGUAAACACAUAAAUGGUAAUAAAGCCCAUUUUAAUUACAAUUCCUGCAGUUCAAGCAAAUAAAUUAUUCAAUUAAACCACUCUAUAUUAUGUACAAUUUAUUCAUAAGUAUUAUGAAUUUUAUAGUGCAUUCAUUAAACAAUAAUCAAAUUUAGGUGGAAACAUAAUGAAUUACAAUCAAAAUAGCUAGAAUCAAAAUGAGGAAUUAGAAUCAGAAUAAUUUAUUUACUUGAACUGCAGAAAUCGUAAUUAGAAUGAGCUGUAUUACCAUUUAUCUGUUUAUUUUGUCUUAGAAUCAAAAUCAGAAUGAGUUAAAUUGUAACAUUGCUAUAAAAUCAUUAAUUAAUUUUUAUCAUAAUUAUUAUUUUAUAUUUUAAUUAUUGUUAUUGUUAUUAUUAUUCAAAAAUUAAUUAUUAAUAAUAAUUAUCGUUAAUUAUUAUUAUUAAUUUAAUAAAAAAAUUAUUAUUAAUUAUUGUUAAUCGAUUAAUUAAUUAUAAUACUUUUUAUUCUUGUUAUUAAUAAUAACAAUAAUAAUCUAUUUAAAAAAUAUAAUUAUAUUUAUGAUUAUAAUAAAAUAAUAGUUAUUAAUUAAAUGGAGGUUAUUUUAAAAAUUUGAAAUUAUAGGGGGCGAAUUCGUACUCUAGGGUUUUAAUAAAAUAAAAUUGAGUGUAAUAGAUUAAACGAAAUUUUAUAAUUCAAAAAUUUCUAUAAUACUUAUAAAUAAAUUAUAAAUAAUAUAGAGUAUAGGAGGCUAGAUGAAGUUUUACAAGCUAGCCGUAAGUUACAUUAAAUGUAACUUAGGCAGGCCCCUAGCAAUCAUUAAUAUAUAAAACCUGCCAUUUCUCACUCAACCACUUUUCCACCAUUUGAUGCCAUACAGAUUUCUGAAGAUUUGUUGGGCGAUUAGAAUAAUGCUCCCUAUCUGUCUUAUAUCUUUUGAGGACUUCAUCUCUAAUACUCUUCAUAUAUAUAAUCUUUAAAUCUUUAUUUAACUUGAGAAGAAAAAUGCAGCGUUCAACUCCUCUUUAAGACCAUCAAAUGUGAACUUAUUUUUAAAUCAGUUAAACAAGCGAUCUAGUUCUAUUUAUGGGUACUCAAAAAAUGUAAUCUAAGGUCCAUUAAUUUAUAGAUUAAAGAGAUCACCUACUGUACGUAUAGCAUAAGGAGUAAUAAGCCUGAAAUAACAAUUUGAAAAUUGAACAUAAUUAAGAGAGUGCUUUGAUUACAUACAUGUGAUGAAAUACAGAAAGAGAUGAUAUUUACUAUUAAUUUAUAUAAUUAAUCAACUUGCAGCAUUGUGAAUUUCUUAUUUUAUGUAAAUAAAAUAUUUUGUAAACUUCAACGGGCCUACCUUCCCCAAUUUUACAUUUGCCUUUCCCUUUUCCUGUUUUUUGGAGGCAGUAAUACCUUGACCUAUAAAUCAACAUGCAUAUAUAAUGAAGAAUGGCUAGUUUGAAAUUAAUAAAUAGUAAAUUCAAUUAGCUAAAAAAUUACCAUUUGUGCUUGCAUGUUCAUCUGUGGGAACAUCUUGCAAUUGUAAAGUAUUCUGACAUCGUUGAGCUAAAUUAUUUCGGUUUUUAGAUGAACUAGAAUGAGUAGUGGGUUUCUUGUCAUGGUUGUGAGUAGAAAAGUAUAAAACAACAUUAGCUUUAGUUAACAGGUAAUAAAAAAAAACAAAUUGUAAAUUUAACUAGGAUUAAAAAAAUCGUUAUGAAAUAGAAACUAAAUUAAUUUCUCUGUUUGAAUUAUGGUCAUUAAAACAUAUCUCGUCAGCUGCUGGUACUUGAUGCCCCAAGAUGAUUUACUGACUAAUAUUAUGUUGUCAUAUCAUCAGUCAAUGACAUAUUAUCUUAGUCAAAGUCACAUCAUCAUUCAAAGUCACAUCAAUAUUUGUUCAAUCCCAUAAGAUACUGCCACGUCAGUCGAUCAGUGCCACAUCAUCUAGUCAAUGCCACGAUAUUUGGACCCCACUAAAAUUCUAAAAUUAUAAUUUUUCCCUUUAUGUUCUUCCUGAGUUUUUUAGCUAUUCUGAACUAAAACAUAAUAUCCAUUUUAUUGUCCAACUUCUCAUUAAUGGUGAAAUAACUAAAAUACCCUUAAAAUACAUAAAAUACUUAAAUUAUAACAAAACACACACAAUCAAAGUUUAAAAGACUUAAAUACAUAAAAAUAGAAAUGUUAUUGAAGCUUGGAGACGAUUUGAUCAUUUAUAAAUAUGCAUUCUCCAACACUCAACAAUAAUUCACCAAUCACAGCAUGAUAUGAUACACCAACCUCAAUACGGUUAUAGAAAGUGGAGAUUUGACAAGUUCUAUUAAAGAUUUGACGAGUUUUAUUUUUUCUUGCCAUCUCUAUUAAAAUCAAAUAAAAACAAAAUAUAAAGCAUAAAUAAAAUUAGAAUAUAAUGGAACAAAUUUUCAACAUUAUUACAUAAAUCAUGUGACAAAUAAAGUUUAAUUAUAUAAUUUUACCUUGUGAAAUAGAAAGUUGACCAACUGAUUUUUCCUUUAGAGCUUUUUAUAAAUACUUUUGUUUUUCUUAAAUUAAUAUGUAUACAAAAUAAAACAUUGAAAUUAAAAAUAUACUAAAAACUGAAUUUCAUUAAUUAAAGGCUUGAACACCACAACCUUGAUCAACAUACCUUUCAACUGCUGCUUAUAUAGAUGAUCAAACCCUUCUAUCUAUUAAACUUGCAUGGAACUGCUUUGUAUUGCUAUAAAGUGUUACAAUAUAUACAUGUUACAGCUAGCGUAAAUAAUGAAAGAGAUAAAUAAGUAAUACACUUCUUAACAUAAUGAACUACUGCACUUCUAAACAUAAUGACAUACUGCCAACUAAGAACGUGAAGAUCACGUUAAGCUAUUACGCCCCCGCAAGAGAGGUGUACCGUCGAGAACACCGAGUUUGGACCGUGCACGCUCAAGGGGAAGCCGGGGAAGCGGCUUGGUUAAGAUAUCAGCGAGCUAAUGCUCAGAAGGAACAUGAGCAACAGACAGCAAACCUUACGCAAUCUUAUCACGAACAAAAUAAAAGUCAACUUCCACAUGCUUCAUACGAGAGUGAUACAUAGGAUUUGUGCAAACAUGAGUGGCACCAAGAUUGUCACAGAGUAGCUUGGGCAUAUGAGUCUGAAUACCAAGUUCUGAGAACAAGUGUCGAAGCCAACAAAGCUCAGAAAUGGUAGCAGCAAUGGCAGGAAACUCGGCUUCAGUAGAGGAACGUGCCACAGACUUUUGCUUCUUCGAAGACCAGGAAAUGAGAUUGCCACCAAGGAAGAUAGCGUAAGCACUCGUAGAGCUGCGAUCAUCAAGAUUGCCCCCCCAGUCAGAAUCACUAUAAGCAGCAAGUGUAGAAGAUGAGGACUGACGAAGAAAAAGGCCAUGAAAAAUUGUAGCUUUCAAGUAACAGAGAAUGCGCUUGGCAGCCUGCCAAUGCAACUGAGAGGGACAUUGCAUGAACUGAGAUAGUUUGUUGACCGCAAAGCAGAUGUCAGGACAAGUGAGAGUGAGAUAUUGCAAGGCACCAAGAAGCUGACGAUAAGACGUACCAUCAGCAGAGACAGAACCAUCAGUUUGUUGAAGACCAACAGUGACAGACAGAGGAGUGGCAAUAGGUUUAGCAUCAGUCAUGCCAAACCGGUCCAAGAGAGAACGAACAUAGUGAUGCUGAGAGAUAAAUACACCAGACAGAGUGCGAAGCAACUCAAGCCCGAGAAAAUGAUGCAGAGAGCCAAGGUCCUUGAGAGCAAAAGUAGAAGCAAGACUAUGAAUGAAGUGUUGAAUAACCCGGCCAUGAGAACCAGUAAUAAUUAAGUCAUCCACAUAGACAAGAAAAUAAAUACGAUGACCAUCACGGUGAUAAAGAAAAAGAGAAGCAUCAAUCUUGCUUUGGCGGAAUCCAUAGGACAUCAAAAAUUUGUACAGAGUAGUAAACCAUGCACGAGGCGCCUGCUUAAGGCCAUAAAGAGAUUUGCAUAACCUGCAGACAAAAGAAGGCCGGUUAGAAUCAAUAAAACCAGGCGGCUGCAUCAUGUAAACCUCCUCGUCAAGAGAACCAUUUAGGAAGGCGUUAUUGAUAUCCAACUGACGAAUCGACCAACCAAAUUGCAAGGCUAAGCAAAGAAUAACACAAAUGGUAGAGGUCUUGACAACAGAGCUGAAAGUAUCAUGGUAGUCGAGACUAGGACGCUGAGUAAAGCCCUUAGCAACCAGCCGCGCUUUAUACCUGUCAACAGAACCAUCGGGGUGGCGUUUGACACGAAACACCCACUUAGAACCAACCAAAUUUUGAGAAGGUACAAGAGGAACAAGAUCCCAAGUAUGAUUAGAAAUAAGAGCAUUAUAUUCAGUACGCAUGGCCUGAAGCCAUUGCGGGUCGGCAAAGGCAGCCUUAAUACUAGUUGGUUCAACAGUGGAGGGCAGCGGAUGUUUGGAAAUAAUAGGAGCGAGGGUAGUGUGGUCAAGCCGUUUUGGUUUAUAAAUGUUAUUGCGUGACCGAGUUAUCAUUGGAUGGGUUCGGGUCGGCAGUGAAGGUGGAGGUGGAGGUGUUGGUGGUGACAGUGAUGGGGUUGUUGGUGACGACGGGGAAGUAGACGGGGCCGGUGAUGAAAGAUUGGAGAUGAGAGAAUAGGGAGUUAGUACUGGUGCAUGGACAUGGGGAGGUAAAGAGUCAUAAGUAUGAGGGUUAUGAAUAAUACCCAAAGUAGAGGCGGAAGAGGCCGGUGAAGAAUCGGAGCUACUAGGAAGCGAAUCCGAAGUUGCAAGACGGGAACCACUAGGAGAAGAGGAGUGAGCCGACAGAACCGGGACCUAAAAAAUGGAUGGAAACUAGGAGGUGAGUGAAACAGAGGACGGAGAGGCAGUAGAUGCGAGGGACUGAUAGGGGAACUGAGACUCAAUAAAUUGAACAUCACGGGAAACAUAAAUCUUACCAGACUGAACAUCUAAACACUUGUAUGCACUUUGUUGUGGGCAAUAACCGAGAAACACACAAGGCUUGGACCUAGGCUCUAGUUUGUUGCGUGUAUAUGGGCGUAACCACGGGAAACAGAGACACCCAAAUACACGUAGAUUGGCAUAAUUAGGAUGGGCAUCAAAUAAGAGCUGGAAAGGACAGGUUAUGGAUGUAGUUUUGGAUGGUAGACGAUUAAUUAAGUAGGUGGCGGUUUGAAACGCAAACGUCCAAAAGCUAGGAGGUAGCGAGGCUUGAUGAAGUAACGCCAACCCCGUCUCAACAAUAUGUCGAUGACGAUGUUCAGCGACUCCAUUAUGUUGUGGUGUGUAGGGUGGUGUAAGCAGGUGAUUAAUGCCCGUCUGUUGAAAAAAUGAGGUGAGUUUAAGGAACUCACCACCACCGUCGGUGUAAAUAUUACGAAUAGUAGUACGAAAAUAAUUUUCAACAAGUAUUUUAAAACGAACAAAUGUAGAGAAAACAUCAAAUUUUAGCCGUAAUGGAAAAAACCAGACAUACUUAGUAAAAUGAUCAACGAAAAUCACGUAGUACUCAUAAUUAUCAAAGGAAGUAACAGGAACAUCAAUCAAAGUAAUUUCAUCAGAAAUAGAACGUAAGUUAUUUAAAUAUUCGGCAAUAGGUUGUCCAUCACAACGAGGUCGUGCAAGUCGUUCUCUAAGAGAGAUAACACGACUACGGCUAUGAUUGGAGUAUAGCCGUGCAAGCUUAUCCCACGCUUGCUUGGAUGUUGUGGAACUAGCUAUAAGUGGGGUAACUCUUUCGGUGCAGGAGGCUAGGAUGGAGUGAAAGAUCAACUGAUCUUGGCGUUUCCAUAAGGUAUAGGCUGUGUUGAUGGUAAGCGGAUCAUUACUGCUGCCAGUUUGAUACUGAGAAGGGCACUCAGAUGUGCCAUCAAUGUAACUUGUCAGAUUGUAGCCAAAAGCUAAAGAGAGGAAUUGCGCUCUCCAUGUAAAAUAAUUUUCGGGUGUAAGCCGUAUAGGCAAUUGGGCAGCGGCGUUGAUUGAAACACAAUCAUUGGCUUGGUUAUUUGAUGAGUGGGGACUUUGGCUGGCUGGUGAGAUAGAGGAGAUGGCUGAAGGUUCAGUGGCCAUGGUGAGAGAAAAGCAAAAGGAUCGAUUUACUCUUGUUAGAGAGAGAGAGAGAGAGCUUUGAUACCAUAUUAAACUUGCAUGGAACUGCUUUGUAUUGCUAUAGAGUGUUACAAUAUCUACACGUUACAGCUAGCGUAAAUAAUGAAAGAGAAAAUAAGUAAUACACUUCUUAACAUAAUGAACUACUGCACUUCUAAACAUAAUGAAAUACUGCCAACUAAGAACGUGAAGAUCACGUUAAGCUAUUACUCUCAUCUUUGGUACUCUUCGUAUUUGAUCACCACUUGAUGGUCUACAAGUCUUUUUUGAAUCGAUUGAUGCAUUAACCUGAUCUUUGUUUUUCUUAGCCAUGAUUGUUCAAUCAAAAUAUAUAAUUAAUUAAUAACAUGUUAGUACAUAAGAAAACCCAACAAUAGCAAUAUAAUUUACGACCACGAGUUGAAGUAAUUUACAUGAAUCAAUUUUGAAUAAGGCAACAACCUAAAAAGGAAAAAAAAAACCACAAAUAAUAACAUGACUGAACUAACACUGAAAGCAAUAAUAUAACCAUAUGGAAUUAUUAUAAAAUUCAAUUAAAAAAUGAAAAAGAAUAAUUAAUAAGUAAAUUCCAACGAAUGUUAUCUUCUUCAUGCAUUUUCGUUGAAUAAUCAUGAAUUAAAUGAGUCUCUUCCUGGAAUGGCUCUUGUUGAUCCACUGGAAUGUUAUAUAGAUUUCAAGACUUUGUUUUUACUAUAACACUUCAUAUAGUAUCUUUCAAUCCUCUUAUAUAAUAUGCUUGAGUUGCUUGGGAUGCUAACACAAAUGGCUUUGUAGUAUUUAAUUUUCGCUUUUUAUUACUAAUAAAUAUUCCAUGAAAAUCUCUUUUGUAACCUAUUCCUUUUCCAGCUAUGUCGUACCAAUCACAAUUGAACAAAACAACUUUGUUCCCUUCUGUAUAAUAACUCAAUAAUUUCUUUCAAUGUUCUAUAGUAUGAAACUCCACCAUCCUACACCACUACAAAAUUGGGUUUUUUUUUUUGACAGAAUAAUUUUGUUACAAAUCAUGAUACUGACAUAAUUUUAUUAUGUCAAAAAAAAGUCUUUGUAAGAAUAUAGUGACAGAAAAUUCAAUAAUUAGUGAUAAAAUAUCUCUCUCAAGGAAUUGUGUUACAAUUCUUUACUUUCAUGGAAUCUGAUGUGGCAAAUGUCGAGGCAUCUCAUUUUGCAAACAUGGCAUUUGACAUGGCAAAUAAAUUUUAUGCUUAUAUAACAUCAUAAUUCUGUCACAAAUUAAUGAUAGAUGUUUAUCUUGUGGCAUUUUAUGCUGAUUGAUUUUUUUGUGCUUAAUUUAUUUCAACUAUACUGUUAUUAAAUGUUGCUAAUACAUAAAAAAUUACAUUCAUAUUGUUGCAAGUUUACAUAAAGAAAAUUUCUUUUUUCCGGAACCAUAAAUCAUUCGAGAUUACAAUCCUCUCCUUACACCAAUUACAUCAUUUUAAGAGGAACAGUUACAUUUGCUCAAAUUGAAUCUAAAGCCGUGCUCAAUAAUCUCAGCAGCUCACAUAAUCAGCGACAAUGCUUGAACCUGAAGGCAUAACCAAAAUCUUAGCAAGUUGAAUCUGCAGGCAUGACAGAAAAUUGCAUCAAAACUACUCCAAUAUCUUAGCAAGUAAGUCUAAUGCCACACGUCCUUUAAAGCUAGAUAUUGAAUAGUAUUUAGGCCAAUUAACCUAUUCUAAUUUCAUCACGAGAAUUAUUACUAUUUAAUACUCAACAAAUUUUUUAUUGUAUUUCGUUAACACUUUAUGUGCAUUGCUGCUUUGAGAUGAAAUUACAACAUAUAUAUUUUUGUAAUACUUAAAAACAUUUUUAUUUGGGUAGUAAAUUGUUAAACUGACUCAAAAAUUAGCUAACAAUAUAAGUUGCUUUGAGAUGAAGUAUCAUAAUUUCACUCUUCGGACAUCAAUUACUUUUAAAUUAUCAUAUGCUCUAAUUUGAAGAUUGUAUCAGAACACUCUUAAUCAUUUGUUUUAUUCUUUAUCAAAAACUGCAUCUUGAAACAAAAUUAAAAAAUAUUGUCAAAUUGAUGCUACAUGUUAAAAAAAAUCUAUUGAAAAUAACACAUGGCGUUAUAACAAACGACUGGGGUACAAAUUUUAAAUGUUACUUAAAUUUUAACAAUUCUUAAAUCUUCAUGCUCGUUACAGUCUAGGCUAAUUAAACAAUCACAAUAAGAAAUAUGUCAAAAAUUGCAACAAAAAUAUUGUAAUACAGUCAAUAUCGAAGACAAUUAUGCAAACAAGCCAGUACUAUAAGAAAACAGGUAAUAGAUGACGGGAAAUAACUGUCAUAAAAGAGGGUACAUGACAGACAAUUCAUCCGUCAUCUAUGUUACUGUCAUUAAUUUAUGACAGAAUAUUUUCCGUCAUAAAUUCAUAAUAGUAUUUUACCAUCAUAUAUCUGUCACACAAUAUUUUAAUGUGAAAAAAUAAUUAAAUUUGAAUUUAUUAUUAGUGGGAAAUUAAAUUUAUUAUUGGCGGAAAUUUUACCGCCAUUUUUUAAUUUUUAACGGGAAAUUAAAUUGUCAUUUGUAAAUUUAUUAUUAAAUUUUGGUAGAAAAUGUUUUAUGACAAAUGUUAUGAUGGGUAUUUCCCGUCAUAAAGUUGAUUUUUUAAAAAAAAAUUAUAUGAUUAUAAUUUAUUUGUGAAUUCUUGAUUACAAAUUUAAUUAAUUAAUAAAAAUGAAUAUCGUCAAAAAAAACUAAAAGCAAUUAAUAUUAAUUAACCUCCAUUCAAUCCAACAAAUUAAUUUUGAAAACAAAUACAUCUAGUAUUCAAUGUCAUCACCGCCAAUACAUAAUAAAACAUCACAAAUAAAAAAGAAAAAAUUCCAAAAUAUAAACAAUACUUAAAUCCCAAUUAAACCCCAAGAAAAGCAAUUCAAAUUCUAGCCACCGAGCCAAGUUACCCAACAAAACUUCCAAAAAUUAAUGAAAAUAUUCCAACAGCAAGACUUCUAGCAAGACUCCAGCAAAACUUCCAGCACCAAUACCAUCUUCCAAUAGCAAUCUAAUUCCAGCAUCAAACAAGGUAAAAGUCACAGAUGAAACUUGUAUCAGCAAAAUCGUCCACAUUAAUAAAGAGUAGCUGCUGUAAAAGAGCCGCAUUACGGUCUGUCAACUUAGCAAUAAUGGUAGAAGUAAUUCCAGCAUGUAUUUUCUAUCCAGCAGGGCCAAAUCCUCAUCCUUAAGGGCUAAGAUAUCGAAUGAGAUAAUAAAUAAGUAAAAGGUAAAUACGAGGGAUGCUAAAACAAAAGUAAACCUAAAACUGCAGGGAGAAAUAACCUCUUUUCCCACUACUAAGAGUAGUAUAAGAUGUAACUGCAAUUGAUGCUGCAGGCAUUAUUUGUCUUUUAGAUUACACAUGUGAUGAUCAUGCUUCAUCCCUUUCCUUUUUAGUCUAGUAAUUACACGACAAGCAACAUCAUGUUGAGGACAAAUCAAUAUGCUAAGGUCAGUGAGCUGCUCAAGUAAUGAUUUAAUUACAAUUUGUACUAUGGUCAAAGAGAAGAAGACAUAAAAUGUAAAUGUGUAUUUCUUUAGAGGAAGAAAAAACGAAAUUUGCUAAGGCUCAAUGCGUAUUUUCUGGAUAAAUACAUUUUAUAGAGAUAACAACAAACCUGUAAACUAAUUAUCUAUAAAAUCAAAUUAUUUAGCAGCAACCUCAUAUUUCCAUUAACUUCAGCUAGCACAAUACAGUAUGUAUACAUACUGGAUAUUCACUGACUCACCUAAAGCAACAUGAGAAAGUUGGACACGAGGAUCAUCCGCAAGUGAUUUGUUAAGGUCCAAUAUUGCUUGCCUGCUGCUGCCUCUAAAAUGGUCCGGAACCCGCUCUUCAGGCAUUGCAACUGUUCCCCCCCAGAGUGUGUUGUCAUAGACAGCUAUACCGCCCACUUUCAACAACUUCAUCAACCUCUCAUGGUAGUUACAGUAGUUGUCCUUGUCGUCAUCCACAAAAGCAUAGUCAAAACUGACUUCAUUUUCACUCUGCAGCAGAUUCCAUAAAGGAUAUUUGUUCAAAAACAAAAGUCAAUUGAAUGGAAGAGUAACAGAGGGAACAAAUGUACGUAUUUUAGAGUAUUAAAUCUUUAUAUCUUUUAGUAGCUAAUCAAGAACUGAUAGUGCCUCGGACUCAAUGAAGUUUAUCUUGUGAUCAACUCCAGCCUUUUUAAUGAUAGGUAAUCAUAUUUCAUAUGUCUCACGAUUCACAUCAAUUGCUGUAAUCUGCAGUAUUUUGUUUCCAGUCAUAAAUAGCUUAGUAGGCAAGUGCAUGAUAUGAUAAUAAGAUGUUAACAAAAUUUAACCAAAGCAAUAACAUAUUGCAGGAACACUGCAUUAAUAAAUUCAAUUCUACAGCAUCACAUAUGACAAUGGACUAUUUACCUGACCAUCCUCUGGAAUUGUGAGUGCAGUGAGAAGAAGAGAAUAUCCAGUGAAAACUCCAAUUUCAAUAGUUUUCUUUAAUUUCAACCUCAGAUUUUCAUUAAUUUUUUAUCCUUUUAUUUUCUUUUUUAGAAUGAAACACAAAAUUAAAAAUAGAGAUGAAUAUAUAGCUACACUAAUGAAAUCAAAACUAUUGAUUCAAAACUCAAACAUAAUAAAAAGGAAAUAAAAAAGUGAAGAAAUGUUACCUAGGCUCAAAACUGUAGCUCCUGUUCCAGCCACCACACAAUAGCCACUGCCGCCACUGCUUUUAAUCUUUUAUGUCGAUCUCCACCACCAUCAGAACCAUAAAGACCCGCCCAUCAAAUCACAGCCGUAAAUACCACCGAUUUGCUGCAAGAAUCAGCAAACACGACUACCAAACAGCAGCGAAACCUCCACCAUCGUUCACUAUCUUCCAGCGCGAUUCACCAGCCACCACCAACAACACAUUACUCAUCAUUAGCUGUAUCUAUCUGGUUACCUCCAUCUUCCAGCCCCUUCCCCUUUCUCUGGAAUUGAAGCCAAAAAUCAACACCGCCUCUUUCAUAAUUUUCGAUCAAAUGCUCGCGAAUCGAAGAGAACCUCUAGCAGGAUGUCGACUUGUGGCCUAUGGGUGGGAUUCGAAGGUCGACUCUUUUACUUGGGUUAAUUGGUUGUGAAUGUAUAUAGACUGCUAAGCAGCAAUUAUUAAUCAAGGUUUUCAAUUAUAAUCACAUACAAAGAAAUGGUCGUCAACGCAUAAAUAUAAACAAAAUGAAAGGGAAGAAGCAUACGAACAACUGGGAUAAACAGAAAAGCAUGCAAAUAAUGUAGCAUCAGUAACUUCUGGGCUAAAAAAAAAAUAUUGAAAUGACCUACAUGUAAUUAAUCAUGGUUCAUACUGUCAUACACAAUCCAAUCCAACAAUUUCCAGUACACUAUAAAUUUCAGAUAUGGCAUCACAAACACAAACACCAACCAACCUGAUGUAUCUUCCUCUGACCAUUGGCAUAUGCCCAAUUAACUUUGAUAGGCUGCCCAAUUAACACACUCAGUUGUUAAAAGUGGCAAGGUAAGAAAAUAGACAUCACAAAAAAAAAAAAGGUACUAGUAGUUUCUACAACUCAAUGCAAUCAGCAUUUUUAAAUGCUUUUCAUCAGAUUUAAAAGGUAAAAAAAAAAAAAAAAACACACACACACACACACACAAAUCAAUGGAAACAAGGAUAAGGGUGAUAGUUGCAUAAGCAAGCAAGAAACAGCAAAACAAAAAAUGAAAAAAAAAAAGAAGGAAAAAAACAAGAGAAACAAAAAUAAGAAGAAAAAUGUCUAGGAAAACACUUACACACUGCAGCAAGUAUUUGGAUCAAAACCAGGAGGUAGAUUUCCACUUGGGAUUGGUUCAAUUUGCAAAAUAAAAAAGUGAAAACGAAAAGAAAAUAAAAGGAAAAAGAAAAGACUAAAUAAAGAAGAAUCUUUCCUAAAAUUUCAAUAUCUAGAGUACUCCAAUUCUUAAAGACCAAAAAAAAAAAAAGUAUCAGAAGGUACUUAUAACUCAACCUAGUAUAUACAAACAAGAAGACAAUACUUAGGAAUAUUGAACUGCUUCAGAAUUCUAGGGAUAUUGACCAACAUGGUAAGAAACAAGCCGCUGAUGGACACAAUUCUAGGAAUAUUGAACUGUCAAAUUAGGAAUAUUAAUAAGACAUAUUAGUUUGUAGCAUUAAAUUAGGAAAACGUUUAUAGCAGGCUGCUGAAAAUUCAGAUUAUUGAUUAAUUGAUGGCAAUCUAGAAGUUAAACAUGAAAUGUUUAUAUCAAUUUUUCAAAUUCUAAAAAAAAUAUUGGAGUUGCAAGAACCUUUUUCACUUGCAAAAACUGUAAAGUUUAGCAUUUCCCACUAAAGGAGUGACAUAACCAGAUAUCGUUCAUGAAGUCAUACAUAUCGAGCAUUAAGCUUUAACACCAUUCUGCAAGAGAGAACCAAUAUGCAUCACUGCCAUCAUAUCUGUCAAGGGGCAAAUUUCCUGUAAAAAGAAGCAUAUAAGAAUGUUUCAUAUAAAAAUGCAGCAAGAAUUUAUUACUUAACAAAUGGUAAACAAACUAAUAGAAUACAGGAAAAUUGUUUAACUCUUGUAAUUGUUUCAACAUACCUCAUUCACGUAAUUAGCUCCUAGCAAAUUUAUAAUUCAUUAUCAAAAACAAAUUUCACUUUAAUCUUUUAGUGUUUCAAAUUAAAAAAAAAAAUAUAAACUACACUUGUUCAUUCCAAUCAAACUAUUCAUACCAUUCCUAAAUCUCUAAAAGAUUUAAUUCAACAGAAAAUUAAUCAUUGUAAAAAACCCAUUUAACCUAAUCUAAUAAAAUCCCAAAAAUAAGAUAACACAAUUUCAAAAUUUAAUUAGUUAAUUCACAUGAAUUGCAAACAGAGAAAACUCACCUCUAAUAGAAGAUCAAAGUUAUGCAAAAGAAAAAUAGAGAUAAAUUAAUAUGUAUUAAUCAACCAAUUAAUCUACGUUUUGGUCUCUAAGAACACAACAAGAAAAAAAUUAAAGCUAGGGUUAGGGUUAAUCACCUGUUUUAGAAUUACUCAAUGGUUGUUGUUUCAAAAGGAAGUUAGGGUUUCCCCAGCACGACGACAAAUGAUUAAUUUCUCGGCCAUAGUUUCUCCGACGAGGUGACACGAUGGGUUUUGAGGAGCUAAAUGAUUGAUUUUCGAAAUCAAAGAAUCACAAUGAAAGUCACCAGUGACCAUGGCACUAAGCGGCGGAGAUGGGUGAGCAUGACGGCUAGGGUUUUCGUUGAGCAGCAGCAAAAAGGGAUUUCGUUGGAUGCAGUAAGGGUUUUCUUCCACAAGUUUGAGAGGUUGAGAGUAUCGGUUGGGGGGUUUUAACACUUAGAAAAAUUUGUUGCUUUUUUUUUCGAGUUAGUGUUUUAUAAAAGUGGUAAAACAGUAAGUUUUGCUUUUGGUUUUAAAUAAAAUAAUACAUUAAAUUUGGGUCAAACACGGUCAAAAUAAUUUUUCUAUCACAAUAUCUUGAUAGAUCAAAUUUCUAUCACGAUUCUAUCAUAAAUUCGUGAUAAAUAAUAAUUUUAUCACAAAACCAUCAUAAAUCCGUGAUAGAAAAUAAUUUUAUCACAAAGUCAUCAUUAAUUCAUGAUAGAUUAAAAAUUAUGUCAUAAGUCUAUUAUAAUUUUAUGAUAUACUCAGAAUCUGUUAUAAGUUGUUUGUCAUCUAUUAGCAGUUUUCUUAUAGUGACUAUUCAUAUACCAUAAUUUUUAAUAAAAGUGAACAAAGACCUUAAAUUAUAUAGUAAAAAGUGUGAAUAAAUUCAUAAUAAAGGAAGAACAAGGUAAAGUAAUGUCAAAAGCUAGCUCACAUGAGAAACCAAUGAUGAAAGCCAGGCAAGAGGAACAAGACAAUCUUGAGAUGAAAUUAGCUCUUGAGCAAUCUGGCCCUUUGCUGAAAUUAUACAAAAAAAAAAUAUUGUUUUAACGUUAUUUCAGAGACAAAAAAAAAAAAAAACUGGAGAGAAGAAUUAAAAGCCCAUACCCAAAACUAUUAAAUUACCUCUUUGAAUUUCAGUUGUUUCGUUUUUGAAGAUGAUUGCUCAGCAAGUGAUGAAAGCAAACGGCUUAUUCGAUCUUUCCUUUUGGUUUCUUUAUCUAAAUGACCUUAAGCCUUUUUUUUUAAUUGCUUUACCUCGAUAACUGAAUAUGUUUAGUUCUCUUUUUGCUGAAGUGAAGUUUGUGAUGUUGUACUUUGGCUCUAGAUUCUUAUAAUUGUGUAUUAAAGAUUUGAUAGGAAAUUGGAACGUAUGCAAGAGUUUGGUACCAUGCCUUUUUCUUUUUGUGUCUUAAGGAUACUUAUUUAAUUCAUUAGUGAUAGCCUAAGAAUACUUAAGAGAAAAAGGAUUAAUAUCAAUUCUAAGCUUUUUAGGAUCUUUGGUGAUUACUGUUAAGUGUGUUGGUACUGUUUAUUGGCAUGUUAUUGCUUUUUGUAAUUUCUAGACAAUGUUGAGUGAUUGGUUACAAAUUAUUGUUUUAGUUUUGAAGUUUGUAAUAUAUACUAACUUGUUUGUAAUUAGAUUUGAUGUUGGAUGUGAUGAGUACACUAUUGAUGAUCUUUUGUAACUUUUUGAUGAGUGGGCCAUAUGCUGCCAAGUUAUUUGUAGCAUGCAAUAAUAAUGUAAUAUAUGAUUAUAUUUUUGCUUGUAAACGUCCAAGACUUAAUUUGUGUAGCAUACUAAUUAAUUCUAUAUGUUACACCUAUAGGUGGGAAAACAAUGAAGUUCAAGGUGUAGAGGCAAUGACGAGAAUUUUGUUGCAAAAUAAAUACUUGCAUUUUUUUUUUUCAAUCUGAAUAUCUACAUCUGUGCAUUUCAAACUAUAUUUGAGAUAUUAUGAAUUUGUAUGUUUCUUUUAUAACUUGUUUUAAUUUGUAUUUGGUAUAAUUGUAAUAUAUAUUAAUAAUAUUUGAAUAUGAAAUGAAAUAUUCUGUAAUAUAAAUCGUUUUUUUUCGUUAUUUUAUGGUGCUUUUUAAUUUUACCAGUAAAUCAAUAAGUAAUGAGCCAAGUCACAUUUUUAUUUUUUAAAUAAAUUAAAUAGUGAUACCAUGGUAACAAUAAUCAUAGACACUAAUAUAAUAUCAAUAACUACUAACACUAUGGUGUCAUAUAUUGUUAAUACUGUAGUGAUAGUAAUCAUUGAGACCAUGUUCGUGACACUAUAAACAAGUAUCACUAUUUUUCUAAUUCUCAUAUUGUUGAUAUAAUUAAUAAGUCUCAGUGAAAAUAAUUACCGAUACUAUUCUAAUGUCAAUAAAGACUAUUCUUUUGGUAGUGUGAGGUAUAUCAACUGAUGAUUAACCUCCAUCAUAAUUCUGCUCAACUCUAUUAAAUUUAGUUUCAACCUUAGUCAAACAGCCUGAACAAAAGGUGAAACAUUCAUCUACCAAAUAAGCCUUUGCAAUGGACCCCUCUGGUCGAGAUUUAUUAUGUACAUAUUUUUUUAACUUGUACAAAUUUCUAUAAAAAAAGGAAUUGCAUAAUUAUUAAAUUGCAAUAUAAGGUUAUCUAUUAACAUGUAGCUAAAUAAAAAACAAUAAAUUUACCUUUCAGAUAUAUCCAGCUGUAUUGCGCUGGACCAGUCACUUUAGCUUCCCACGCCAAGUGAAUUGGAAGGUGCACCAUUUAGCAAUAUCCCUAAUGCUUAGCCACACCUCACUUAGGGAAAAUUUUUUUGCAAGUUCAUCAAAAUUAUCCCCUCACGUACCAUCUGAUUAAUGUUUUCCAAAUUAUCACUUAUAUACAUGUCCCCGGAUGCCAUUUCUGCAGUUAUAACCACAGCCCGCAGACGUUUGCAAAGCACACUAGCAGUAAUAGCACUAAAUAGCCACGAACCAUCUUCAUUUUAUUGAGGUGUUAUUAUUUUUUUUUCGCUUGAUUUGAUUUUAACUAAGCCCAAAAAUUUGUAUUUUGCCUUUUUGAUGAGGAGAUCAUAUUAUUACCAUCGUCAAUAAUAGAUUUAUGACUAUUUUUGGGGCAAAUUGGAGGAAAUGGAAUUCGGGGAUAUAAAUGACCUUUUCACAGACAAGAAGGAAAUGAGUAAUGUAUUAACAAAACUUGCUCCUGAAGUAAUAUUUUGUCAAACGUCAGGGACAUCGCCAAAAUCUUCCCUUAGUGAGUUCCAAGUCUAUACUAUAUAUCUAUAUAUAUGCAUAUAUAAAUAUACACUCCCUCAAGUUGUUCUCUUCUCCAUCAUCUCCACAUACACAAAACUAUCUUUAUAUUAUUAAUUCAAUCAAAUUCAUAUAUUACUCCUUUCAAAAUUAAGUAUUCAGUUAAUCACAUCAUCAUCACAUUAUUCACGUCCAAGCUCUUAAUCAAUAAUUAGGUCGUGCUUUUUUCGUUCACAACUGUAUAUGUUAAUUGAUUAACUCUAAUGACAAACUUAAUGCAUGUGAUGGAUUGAAACUUGAAAGGGAAUAAGCACACGUACGCAAAGCAAAGAAUCGAUGUACUUGACAAAGAGAAGUUUUAUUGUAAGUACACUGUUUUUGAAGAGGACAAUAUGUUGAAUAUACUUGAAUCCAUUGUGUAUGAAAUUAAGUUUGAGGCUUCCGGCGAUGGCGGAUCGAAUUGCAAAACUGCUACUGAAUUCCAUAUAAAGGGCGAUGGAGAGAGUAAAUUGGAAGAGGAACUCAAGGGCUCCGUAGAGAUAGGAACGGCAUUGUUCAAGGCUGUGGAAGCACAUCUCUUGGCAAAUCCCGAUCUCUAUGCUUGAAUCAUUUUCCAAUUCCAAGUGGGCUUCUAAUAAAUAAGAAUUAAAUAAUCUGAACUUUGUUUGCUUAUCUAUGGUUUUAAACCUUGAUUAAUGUACUAGAUAUAAUAACAUCAAUAAAUUAUGAAGCGUGUGUGAAAGUCCACAAACUCGCCCAUUGAAUAUUACAGUUUAAUUACUUUAAUGCACAUCAAAUUCAG